rnacentral:lncRNA from 1 species
AGAAUGCGAAUUCUAGUAAUUGUAAAGAUCACUACUUUACUUUUGAAUGCAGUUUAUACUUUUACGAAGUAUUCUAAAAUUUUGGGUAUGCGAAAUCUAAACUUAACACGAAGGUCUACAAAAAGUAGAAAUUGUAUUCAGAAUUUUUGUCAUAGUUCUACACAGUGUAGAAGGUGCCUUCUACGUAUAAAAAACCAAUUUUUCAAAAAAUUAAGGAAAUUUCAGUUAAAAAAUAUUCUAAUAUCCUAAAACGUGUCCUAGGCGAUUUUCUUUGUCAAAAUAUAAAAAAAACGAUUUUGGCUUUUUUUUCUUCAUCAAUCUAUGAUUUCUCCAUAGUUUUUCUUAUGAUUUACAAAAAACUAUUGUUCUAUGAUGCAUAUCUAUACAAUAUGUGGUGUUUGGGAAUUUAGUGUAAGCACAUGAUGAGUUUUUUUGGCUGACGAUAAAGGGGAUAGGCUACUUUAUUGGAAUCAAGUUUUACCUUAGAGGAUUUUAACAGAAUAGUUUUGGAGGAUUUUAGAAACCAAAUGCAAUUAGGUUACAGGAUAUUUUUGAUCUGUGUCGUAUGUUCUUUUUUUUUUAAAUUGUUUUUACAUUUUUUUCCUUUCUAAAACACUAUGGGAUUACCUUAUUUUUUUUUAUCUUUUUCCAUUAAACUUUUUAAAAAUGGUUUUAAUUUAUGUUUAAUUUGAUUAAGGAAAGGUUAGUUUUGGGAUUAUGAAAAAUAUUAUACUAUAGAGACAAUUUAGUGAUAGUUUUAUACCAUAUGGACAACUAUGUUGUUUUUUUGAUCCGUUUUGGCAAAUUUCCCUAAAAACUUGUGAUAUCAUGAUUUAUUUUUUAUAUGAUUCCUUCAGUUCAUAGUGGUGUGUGUCAAUCAGAUGAUACAAAUUUACUGUGAAACCUUUGGGAUUCCAAACUACUCCAUUGUUCCACAAAUAUAGGCUUUUUAAUAUUUUUACACAUAAUAAAAAAAACACAUUAAAUUACUGUAGAACCUAAAAUCUACACUAAGUAUUUGAUAGUGAUUGGGGUUUGAUCUAGGGAAGACAAAUGAUGUAGGCAACGAUCUUUAGAAUACAACGAUGUUAAACAGUUUUCAGUAGGCAAAAAUUGACAUUAUUGAUGAAUAAGAUCGAAUCCAAUGAGUUGAACUAGAUCGAGUGAUACAAAUGAGACCCGUAAAGAAAGAGUCUAAGAUCGGGAGGAAAACAAGGUCGAUAUUAGUGUGUAGCUCUCUCUAGGGUUUUCAACGUGUCCUUCUUCAUGUACCUUCUCCUUUCUUUAUAGUGAGUCGAAUUCGUGAUCUCCGUAGCUGCUCCGCGACCUCUGUAACUGCUCAGCGGUCUUCGUAACUGCUCCGCGAUCUCUGGGGCCUCGACUUCUUAGCUUCUGAGCUCGAUUGCUUGCUACGGGCUUUGGUUCCUUACGGCCCAUCACUUUGAUCGGGGCCUAUUAACGUAUUGACAUGAAUUGAGUCCAAUAAUUACCAUAAUAAAUGUAAUAUAUAAUUUUCAAUUUUCAAUCAAUUUUUUUUUUAAGUUUACAAUUUUUUCAUAGAAAACAUAAAAAAAAUAUAUCUUUGUGAAACAAUUUUUUUUCUAAAAAAAUCAAUUUUUGUGAAACGGAGGGAGUAAAAUUUAACAAGUGGCAUGAGUUUGGGGUCAAUAAGAUGCUUUGGUCGAGACGAACUAGAAAACCAUGAUGAGCCUAUUGCAUUAAGUGCUGUUGGUUAAUUAGAGGUUCGCAUAUGCAUAAACCAAUAGACAUAUGUAUAAACUGAACUAAGACAUAUAUCUAAUAAAUGGUGUAGAGAAUACAAAAUCCUCAGGUGGGAAAUUCAAACAGAGGACAUCGAAAGGUAUAUAUAGACUCUAUACAAAAAUGGUAGUAUGACUUAGUGGAUAGUGUUUUUAGUUAGAGCAAUAGGAUUGAAGUAGAACAAAAACAAAGAAGCAUGCCCUAGAUUCCUGAGAAUAAUUAUACAUUGUUGUUUAUAUAAGGGAAUGGAAUAUGACACAUAGAUUUGUUUAUUUUUACGGUUUAAUGUAAAAAACAAGAUAAAAAUAUGAGAAAAUCAAAUAUAGUAAAUGAAGAAGAAGAGAAAAGGGGAAAUGGUUGCAGAGAAUGGAGAGAUGUUAGGAGGCAAAGCAAAUGGGGAGCUUUGAUGAUGUUGAUGCACGCCGUCAGCUUUUCUUCACGCCUGCUCCCACUCACUCACACCUAUAAACAUUCUCUCUCUCUCUUUCCUCUCCUCUCUGUUUUAUAAAUGAUAUUCACACAUGUCUCUAUGUUAAUGCUAUAACAUGUGUUUAUGUACCAAGAUAUCUUAUAGUUAUUAUACAAAAUGUUAUGAGCCCCUCAAACAAUAUUUCAAAUGGUCGUUAUUUACUUGUUAUAUCUUUUGAAAACUGUUAUACUUGAUGUAAAUUCGUUCUGUGGAUUGAUGUCAAGAACUCAGAACGUUCUUAGAAAUAUAUAUAUAUAUAUUCUAAGACUACAAUAGUACUAGCGAGUAUGUAGAUAUAACAUAACAGAAGAGUAUUGAAAUAUUGAUAUCGCAUUACAUAUUGUUGACAGGCUGUUAUCAUUAGUCGCCGAUUGUCUAAAUUUUUUUUUUUUUUUAAAUUGGGUGAUUGGUUGGAUUUGAUAUUAUAACUAGGAGUCAAUGAGACUUUUAUUUUCAACUUUUUUUGGCCUGCUGAUUUAAAAUGUAUCAAGAGUAUUCUUUUUUUUUAACAACACUUAGGAUGGUACUUGAACAACUUUGGUUUCAUGUAUUUGGCCUAUUUAUAAACAAACAGCGUAUUAUAUACGGCUUUUUGGAGGAAAACUUCACCAUGUAAUUAAUAUAACUGUGUAUCAUUCAUGUCGUUUUCAAUUAUCUAGGUGUCCAGAAUCACAUAUUCAUGUACAUAUAUGUGAGUUAUGAACGAUCCACGCAAUUACAGUAUUGCAUGAGAGACAAACAGAUAGAUGUGCUAAAAAUGUAGAAGAAGAAAUAAAAGGGAAGGUUACUUGGGUGGAUCGAUGUGAAAAGGAAAAAGCAAAACCCACUAAGCCAUUACAUGAUAUCGACCUUCUUAUCUUUUUCUUCUUUACUUCGUAACUUUUUUUAAAUCACAUUUUCUUUCGUCGGUACCUUUUCUAAUUAAUUAAAUCUCCAAACUAUCUAAAUAAUCCAUUUCCCUGAAAAUAAAGGAUUUAUAUAAGCUAUACUUACAUAAAUUGUGAGCAGAUUGUAGGGAAGUGGCAAAUCCCCACUAAAAAUAACUACAGAUUUUUUGUAAAAAUACAAAACUAGUAGGAUCAUUAUGUCCAGAAUCGAGAAUGUUAAUAAGAACAAAAACAAAAACAAUAACAUUCUUGAUUAGCCAAAAGGAGAAAACGAAUGAAAAAUUGAGGGAUAAUGGAACUGUUUGACUAAGGCCAAUAAGAAUUGGAUAACUCCAGUGGGCAAUUGUUUUAAAAUAACCAGUCUCUUCUCUCUCUAAGUAUGUUACAGUGAAAAACAAAAUUAUGUUUUCACUAAACCCAAUUAAGUUCAAACAUUCUAUUAAGUCCAAAGAAUAAACAUGGGACAACAAUUCGAUGCAGAAAUAUCAUCUUUUCAUGCUCCUUUUUCUCUUUAAAUUUACUAAUUAUAAAACUCACAAAACCAACAAACCCACUCUCUACAACUCAUCUUCUUCAAAGAUUCACCCACUCCCACCGAGGAAAAAAGAAGAAAAAAUAUAUAUAUACGUGCACCAAACAACACAUGAUGCUGAUGCAAUAUACACAACAAAGUAUUAAAUCUUAGAUAUUGUGGGUCUCCCAUCUCUCUUCUCUGUCCUCUAUUCAUUUUCUUAUUCCAUAUUAAAGAAAAAAGAUGGAUACUCUCUUUAGACUAGUCAGUCUCCAACAACAACAACAAUCCGAUAGUAUCAUUACAAAUCAGUCUUCGUUAAGCAGAACCUCUACCACCACUACUGGCUCUCCACAAACUGCUUAUCACUACAACCACAACAACUUCCCAACAAACGACGUCGUCGAAGAAUGCUUCAACUUUUUCAUGGAUGAAGAAGACCUUUCCUCUUCUUCCUCUCAUCACAACCAUCACCACACCAAUCCUACUAGCUACUACUCACCUUUCACUACUCCCACCCAAUACCAUCCCGCCACUUCAUCAACCCCUCCCUCCACCGCCGCCGCAGCCUUGGCGUCGCCGUACUCCUCCUCAGGCCACCACAAUGACCCUUCCGCUUUCUCCAUCCCUCAGACUCCUCCUUCCUUCGACUUCUCAUCCAAUGCCAAGUGGGCUGACUCCAUCCUCCUCGAAGCCGCACGUGCCUUCUCCGACAAAGACACCACACGUGCGCAACAAAUCCUCUGGACGCUCAACGAGCUCUCUUCUCCCUACGGAGACACCGAGCAGAAACUCGCUUAUUACUUCCUCCAAGCUCUCUUCAACCGCAUGACCGGUUCAGGCGAGCGUUGCUACCGAACCAUGGUAACCGCAGCAGCCACAGAGAAGACUUGCUCCUUCGAGUCAACGCGGAAGACGGUCCUCAAGUUCCAAGAAGUUAGCCCGUGGGCUACGUUUGGACACGUGGCGGCAAACGGAGCUAUCUUGGAAGCAGUUGACGGAGAAGCAAAGAUCCACAUCGUUGACAUAAGCUCCACGUUUUGCACUCAAUGGCCGACGCUUCUAGAAGCUUUAGCCACGAGAUCAGACGACACGCCACACCUGAGACUAACCACGGUCGUGGUCGCUAAUAAACACGUCAAUGAUCAAACAGCAACGCAUCGGAUGAUGAAAGAGAUAGGAAGCCGCAUGGAGAAGUUCGCUAGGCUCAUGGGAGUUCCUUUUAAAUUCAACAUUAUUCAUCACGUGGGAGAUUUAUCCGAGUUCGAUCUCAACGAGCUCGAUGUUAAAGCGGACGAGGUCUUGGCCGUCAACUGCGUAUGCGCCAUGCAUGGGAUCACGCCACGUGGAAACCCUAGAGACGCUGUGAUAUCGAACUUUCGAAGGUUGAGGCCUAGGAUCGUGACCAUAGUGGAAGAAGAAGCUGAUCUUGUCGGAGACGAAGAACAAGGGUUUGAUGAUGAGUUCUUGAGAUCUUUUGGAGAAUGUUUACGUUGGUUUAGGGUUUGUUUCGAGUCGUUGGAAGAGAGUUUCCCGAGGACGAGCAACGAGAGGUUGAUGCUCGAGCGUGUGGCGGGACGUGCUAUCGUCGACUUGGUGGCUUGUGAGCAUUCGGAUUCGACGGAGAGGAGGGAGACGGCUAGGAAGUGGUCGAGGAGGAUGAGGAACGGAGGGUUUGGGGCGGUGGGGUAUAGUGAUGAGGUGGCCGAUGACGUCAGAGCAUUGUUGAGGAGGUAUAAAGAAGGUGUUUGGUCGAUGGUGCCGUGCUCUGAUGCCACCGGAAUAUUCCUUUGCUGGAGAGAUCAGCCGGUGGUUUGGGCCAGUGCGUGGCGGCCAACGUAAAAGGGUUGGUCUUUUCUAGUAUUUUCACGCGCGCGUUUGCUGGUCGAGAUGGUUUCACACGUAUGGUUUGAUAAUGGGGUUUUGGGAUGAAGAGUUACUAUAUGAUGAUAAUGAGUUCAUAAUUUGAAAUUUGCUUUUGAAUAGGACUAAUUAAAUCAUAAUAUUGAGGAGGCGAUUGUCAAGGUUCAUAAAUUCGUGAUAUUUUAUUUUGUUUUUAAUAUUUUUUCUUUUAAAUGUUGUGAUUAGUUUGAUUCAUGCGAAAGAAUAGGGUUCUAUUUUCCUUUAUAAUGGAGUUUUUAUUUUCCAUACACAAGAAGUUAUCGUGAUUAAUUUUUUUUUUAAACUAAGUGAGCGUUUGAUAUGAGUUCGUUACUGUUACAUUGGAAUCAAUUAACUGGAAUUCAUAAUUGAUAAAAAUAUAAAAGACUAAAAUUGGCAGCUUUUCAGAUUCAAUUAGAAGUUAUACGAAUUGAGGUAUAUAGUUAUUCCAUGUUUCUAAUACAUAAAAGCUUUGUUGCUUUCUUGUAUACAUAUAUAGAAUCUCAGGACAGCUAGUUUCGCUGAGGAGGAAUCUCUUCUUUGGAAUAUCGAGAAUGCAGCUCUAUGGUGGCCUGCACGCUUCUAAAAAUGGAUUAACAUAUUUUUGAUCAUUUAUAAACGUAACAUAAACAAAGUUAGAACAUUGUGGUUUCGAUGGCAUCUAAUUUGAAACAUUAGUCACUUUAUAAUAUUAGUGGCAACUGUACCGGCUAAAAUAUAUACAUGCAAUGCAGUGAAUACUGCACCAUAGUAUUUCAAUGUUUUAAGUGUUUUUUACAGUUCUUACGGUUCACAUUCUGAGGCAUGGUAUGUAUACCAAAUAAACAAAAGAAAAUCAACGUUUCUUACACGACGAUUAAUCACUCACCAAAUGAUAGUUUAUUCACUUGUCGCUCUUGUGGAGUGUAUACCAUUUAUUUCUAUUGGCUUUUUAAUAAUGCAUCUUUCAACUUUUGCUUUAUAAAAAGAUAAAGGGACCAGUCUUUUAUUUGAUACACAUAAUACAUCUAUACAUAUAUUAUGUCUUCAGUGGAUUACACAUGCAUAUACCUAAAUGUUUCAUGGCCCCCCUUACCCAUCAUGUUUUUAUUUAGAAACAGCCCAUAAAAAGUAAAUAGUUGAAAUAGUUAUAAUCCAUUGAUAUACCAUCAUUUACAUAUAUAGUUCUUUGAAUUUGAGAAAGAAAAUAAAUUAUGAAAAAGUAGUGGGAACUGCUUUUGAGAUAUGUGGCUAGUUUCACUACAGCUCUCUUUCUCCCUGCAUCUUUUGAUGUGGCUUUUGCCUCCCCCAUGUUAAUAUUGGUAGAUCUUUUAGCUUCGCUUUUUAAGCUAAUCUUUUUUCAAAAACCUAGCUUCUUUUGGUCUGUUUUCGUGUUUAUAAAGUCAUGCAGAAAGCAAAUCAAUACAAUAAAAAUCUACCAGUUGGCCCAAUUUUGCUUUAACUAGAAUCAAAACCUUGUUGGGUCCCUUUAUAUAUAUACCACGACUUGACCAUAACACACAUCUAACUAGAAAAUGCCUAAAUUCAUAGGGAAUAUCUCAAUUAAUUCCAUGAUGUAAAAGGUUAUAAAAAUUUAUAGGGUUCUUUUAAACACAAUUCAUAAUAAAUCAGCCUAUUGUAAAAAUUAAAAGCUUUAUUUAGGUAUAGAGAAAUGAAAGGAAAUAACACAUUUGUAUUAUAUAACUAAGAGGAAUGAGCUUUGGUAAAAUCAUAUAAAGAAGUAGGUUUAUAAUCUUUUGUGAAAAAAUGAUUUUACUAAAAUAUACAGUCUCAGGCUUCUUGAAACCAUCAUACUUAUCUUUAAAGUUUGUACAAUAUUUCUUCUCUUCUUUGUAGAUCUGCAAGAGUUUUCUUCUCACUUCAUAAUCAUAACUAGAUUUUGAUCCGCGCAGGCGCGCGGGUGUAUAUUUUGAAAAAUAUGUUAAUAUUUGUUUUUCAUGUAAUUAUUAGGAUUUGGAUGAAUCCGAGGAACAUAACCGAUACCGAUCCAAAGAUAUAGUACCAAACCCAAACAUAAAUUGAUUAAAUAUUCUAAUUAUUCAAAAUUUUGUUAUUUAGAGAACCGAAUCUGAUCCGAACCGAAGUAUUUGGGUAUCCGAAUUUAUCUAAAAAUAAAUUUAUAUACUUAUAUAUAUUAAUUAUUUUUAGAUUUAACGUAUAUAAAACAUCAAAAAUGAUACUUUUAAAUUGGUUUAAAUACUUGAAAAUAUAUAUAGAUAGUCAAAAGUAAAUAUCUGAAAUAGUUAAAGUAUACUCAAAUCACCAAAAUACUUAAAAUAAUUAUUGAUUUCGUAUCCAAAAUUUUAAAUCAAGCCAAUUGAUAUGUUAAGCUUAAGUAUUAUGACAUAUGUUAUUCAAAUUUAUACGUAAUAUAUUAUUUUAUUUAUACAUUUUGAGAAAUUUAAAAUAUAUAAUGAUUUAAGACUUUAAAAAUAAUUUAAAUUAGUUAUCCAAACCCAAACCAAACCCGCAAAGAUACAAAUCGAACUCAAACCAAAAUUUAGAAACAUUCUAAUAAGGCUGAAAUCUUUGAUCCCGAAAACCCAAAAUACAAACCGAUCAGAACUAAACUCGUAUGGGUAUCCAAAAGCCCAUCCCUAGUCAUUAUUAUAUAUCGUAUUUUAUCAUCAUAUAAUUAAUCAUAUUUUAUAUGUACCAUCAUAUAAGUAAUCAUAUAAUUAAUAGUAUUUUAUACAUACCAUCAUAUAAAUAAUUACAUAUAUUAUAUUUUUAAAACUUAAUAUGAAAUAUGAAAACCAUAAUUUGAGUUGGUAUUUCAAAUUGGGCUUUGUAUUAUAUUUUUCUUAUAUAUAUUGACAAUAUUUUUUUAUAAUGGUUAUUGAAAAAUAGUUUAGUAAAAAUCCAUUUUUGAAUAUAUGUAUAUUUUUGAAUCAAUUUUUGAUAUAAAUCAAAUUUGAAUUAUUAUUUUGAUUUGAAAUAUGUAUAUAAAGUUUAAAUUUUGUUUUAUGGUUAGUUUAGAAAAAAAAAUUUUAGGGAAUUAGAUUGACCCAUAUUGGUAUAUUUUAAAAGUAGCCUAGAUAACUUUCAAUUUUUAAAAAAAACAUAAGCCCAUUACUUUUUUUCUUAAUACUACUAUCCUUGUUUUCAAACAAAAAUAUUUUUUUUUAAAAGACUGCAAUCCAUGUUUCCAAACACUCCAAAUUUUUAAAAGUCCUAUUCAAGUCUCCAAACACUCCAAUUUUGUACUUGAGUUUUAAUAAGAUAGAUUAAUGAAAUAGGUUUUUCCAGUUCUUUCAAAUGGGUUCGGUUUGCUCUGGGGCAUCCCCUUUUAUAUUCGCUGACGUUGAUUUCUCAAUGGGCCUCGUUAAAUGGGCCACACGCAGCCCACACGAUUUUAACGAACAAAUGAAAUGAAAUGAAAUCAAAACGGACGGAGAGAAAACCCUAGCACCGGCCACAAUGCGAUCUCCGAUCUCCGGGCUCUUCUCGAGAUCCAUCAGCUUCCUCCACCGCACCUCCGCCACUCGCCACCUAUGCGCCGUCUCUUCCCCUGAAGCUAGAACGAAGAACCUCGAGCGAAUCGCCGACGACUUGCUAAACCUCAACAGAAUCGAGCUCUACGACUACUCAGUCCUCUUCAGCCACAAACUCGGCCUCAACCGCUACGGUUCCGCCGUUUCCUCCCCCGCCGGAGACCUCCCCGACGCAUCCGCCUCCGCCGAGACCAAAACCGCCGAGAAAACGGCUUUCGAUGUGAAGCUUGACAAGUUCGAUUCCGCUUCCAAGAUUAAAGUCAUCAAGGAGAUAAGAGCGUUCACGGAGCUGGGGUUGAAAGAAGCUAAGGAUCUCGUUGAGAAAGCUCCGGUUGUAGUGAAGACAGGUGUCACCAAGGAAGAAGCUGAGAAGAUCAUGGAGAAGCUUAAAGCCGUUGGUGCCACUGUUGCUUUGGAAUAAUAGAAAUAAAAGUUUGUUUAUUUUUUAAAAAAUAAUUUACAAUAAUGAAUGAUGCUCCUCUCUUGUUAUAUUGAGAUGCCACUCUUAUCAGGUAGUAGCCUCUUCAUGUAGUACUUUGAUUUUCUAGAGAGGUUGAUUCUUUGCCUUCUGGUCUCUGGUAUGACCUCGAUUGCGCAUUCUUGGAACCCGCGUCUCACGAACCAGUCUGCUGUUCGCGUUGUGAGGAGAAACAGCGUGUCUAACCCGAGAGAGGAUGCUUUCUUCUCUAUGUAAUCUACAGUAAACAGAUUGUUGCGUGUGUGUCAUUGAUAUUUUACUUUGAGUUUGGUUUGGUUUGGUUUACUUUACCUAGUAGUUUAUCGCCUUGGCCUUGACCGCGGCAGUCUGAUGCAACCGCGAUGGCUGCAACUUCUCCGCAUUUGUCUUGGAAGAAUGGGAACAGAGCCGCACAAGCGAUGAUUUGACCUUCCCUUUCGACAACCACGAAUGAGUCCAAAGCUUGGAGUAGCUGCACUCAGAGAUUUAAGUCUUUAACGGGGGAUUGUUUAUACAAAUGAGGUGUGGGAAGAAGAUAGGGAAGGCUUUUAAGACCUCCUCAUCGGUUCUGCGGACCAAGAUCCCACCUUCCUCCAAAGGUUUGAUGAUACGUCUGAUUCCUGCAAGAUCAUCCACUUUGGCAUCUCGUGUUCCUUCGUAUACAUCACUGUAUGCAAUGUGCGGAACAGUCAGUAUAGCAUUGUAAGAACGAUAACACCAAUCCGAACAGAUGAGUAUUACCUAGCAACCAUAGUCCCCAUUCCAUCUCUUUUGAAAAGUUCCAACAAUAGAACUCCAGUUAUAGUACCAUCUAACAAGUGAACUCUUUUGACUCCACCCUUCAAGAAAAAGCAAAACAAAAUGUUUCAGUUCAAAUGGGUAAGAUGAAGACCAAGGCCCUCAUAAAAACUCACCCUGCAGACAAAAGCAGCAGCAGCCAGUUCGGAAAGAUAACCGUUUUGGCGGCUUAGUCUCUCCUCACCACCGAUAGCAAAACCUUGCUCACCAGACCCUAACCCACUCCCAAUGUCAAACCCAACACCGUUCUGAAAGAUGGGAGUGUGGUUCCCGUUUCCCCAAAACGCUGCUCUCCCGUUACCAGGAGGUUCUUGAUAAGCCAUGCUUCCAUCACCAACAGCCUUUACAUAGUUAGCAGCAAUGUCGCUUUGUUGCGCCCGUUUCCUCACCAACAUAUCUGCUUCUUGGAGUGUCAAGAAACGAAUCAGAUGUCCGCUCUCGUCAAGAAUUGGACCGUCCAUUAUGCAAAUAAGCUUAUCUGCUCCUAUAGCUAAUGCACAAGCUGUAGCUACUUCAUAGGUACUGCACAAGUAAAGAUGUGUGUCAUUUAUGAAAACAUUUCUAGAAAGUAGAGAGAGAGCAUACUUGCAGUUUAAGACUUCUCCGGAGCUAGAGUGACCCAAGUUCCUCAACAAGACUACAGAACCACCGUCAAGCCUCUCACAAAUCCGGUCUACAUCUAUCUUCUUCACUUCACCAGUCGCUCCAAAAUCAACACCAUCAACAACGCCUCUCCUCUGCACCAUCAUCAACAAACCAGUGAUGAGACUCAAGGAGUCGUAUCAUAUGAGCAUAUCAAGAAAGUUAAACUCACUUUUGCUGCGAAGAAGUUGCCGGUAUCAACCCUGACACCAAUAUCAUGCAAACGACUACUAUCACCAUGCCUACGGAUAUUGCAAAUGGAAGGUCCAGGAGAUAGUUUAGCCUCAAGCAUCACUGAGAUAGCUCCCGCAGCUUCCGUGGCAGCAACGAUGCUGCGUCGGUUACUCUAUAACGUCCCACAUAUGUAGCCUCGCGUCCUGCAACACUCAAUACACAUCAAGAAUCGAACAUCCCUAAGCCACUACUAGAGGCAAUGUUUUAUUCAUUUCUGACCUCUUUCAGACAGGAGCUGGUCGAUUUGCACUUGUGUUCCUGGAACUAGAACGAAUCUUAUCCCAAGAUGAUGAAGAAACGCUAUGUCCUGAACCAAAAUCAUAUUAAUUAAAUAAACUUUGAGAAGUGUAAUCACAUUUGCAAAAGGAUACCUUUAAAAUGGGAUCACAGUAAGGGCCGGCGAGUAUAUCGCCGGAGAUGACAACGACGAAAGUGCAGCCACCGUGGGCCCACAGAUAAGGCCAAGCUUCACGGAACCAGCGCACAAACUCUUUGUCGUCCACUGGAUGCUCAGCCUCCGCGUCGCCGCCUCCACUCGCCGCGUAGGUGUACGUAUUGCAUUUCGCCGCCACGGAACCAACCGGCUUAAACCACGGAGAGCUAAACCGGAUUUGACCAGGGUUUAACUUAUUUUCCGGCCUGAAAGACGAAAGAUCCUUCCUCGUUUGGCGUGAUUGGUAAGAGAGGUAGUAGGUGUUUGAAGAAGAAGACGCAGAACGCAACAAAGCUCCCUGCUCCAUCAUUUUUACACUACUUCUUUAGGAGAAUUCGAUUAGAUUCCAUAGAAAAUGAAUUAAACCGGCAGGAGACGGCCGCGGUACCUACAAAAAGUGGGACCCACCGUCUCGGAUUUUUACUAUUUUGUUAAUUUUAUUCUUUGCUUUUUACUUCUUUGCCGGAACUCUUUUAAAAUGUCUGGUCGUCGUGAGAGUACAUUAAAGUGUCCCCCUCGUGGAUUAAAUUGUUCGAUUCCGGUCAACCGGUUCGGUCCUUCACUCCUGGUCCUGGGGUCAGCUUCUUAGUCAAAGUGACUUCCUACACAAACAAUUGUUUAGAAAGUGGGUUUUUUCCUUCCGUUCACAUAAGUCACUGUAUCACAAAAUGGGCCUUUAAGGAAUGUCCUGGGGUAUCUUUCCGGCCCAAACUCAUUUAAAGUGUUAAUUAAGUGGGCUUUUAAGGAAUGUUGUGCAAUUGUUAUCUUUUUGGCAUAAACCCUCUUUUUUGCAUAAACCCCCUCCACACCUAUAAAGAAACUAUAAACAACCUAAGUUAGAGAAAACAGUUAUUAAAACUCUGAACUUUCAAACGAAGGAUAAAAAAAAAUCCAAUUAUAUUUAGAGCAAAAAUAUUUUUCAACUUUUAAAUAUUGGUGUUUUUUUUUGUUGACUCAACCAUUUAAAAAAUAGUCAACUGCUAAAUUCGAACGACGAGUGUUAUAUCCAAUAUGAUGUUAUUUUACAAAAUCAUUUUGUUUAAGCAAAAUUUCAAAUUGAUUUCAUCUUCCUUAUUCAAAAACCUAAUUUUCAGUUCAAUUUCAUCUUCCCCAAAUCAAUUUAUAGGCAAUCUCCGAUGAAGACAAACAGUGGUUGUGACACCCCCGAUCGUAGACGACCGGAAAUGACACGGUCGAUGAUUGUCGAUCUGAGGUUCUCAGAAUACUUCUGAUCGCCUUAGAUCAACAACCAAAGAACACCAACGCUCCUAUCGGAUAUAGCUCUAGGCUUUUCAACCCGACAAAGCAAUACCCGAUAGUUAGUUCGUCCGGACAAGGACUAAUAUCAUAUGAAACCCGUACUUUAAAAAAACAUUCUUUAUAUAUCAAUCAAAAGCAUCUUACAAAAUUUGUUAUAAAUUAACCUCGAGGUUUUCAGUCAACAAAUCUUAUACAUAAGAUAUACCAAAAUGACUUUGCAAUGAUAAUAAAACUACCGCUGGCUAAUGUUGUUCCUUCCCGUCCUAGAGUAAGGUCUCCCACCUAUUGGUUACUUGCAUCACAAAUGAGUCAUGAGUAACUAGUUUACUCAGUGAGCCUAGUCCCGCACCCCAAUAUAUAUUAAUAAUAUUUCAAGCAAUCAACUUCAUUUGUAUGCAUUGGAAAUAUAUUUCGUAUCUGGAUAUUUAUAUAUAAGGAAUAAUCUUUCAUCAUCGUGAAUCUAAUUAUAUACCUCACUUCCUAUUCCCGUCUCUCAUAUUAUUCAUAUAAUCAUAUAUAUAUAUAUAUACCAGACCCGAAAAACCACAAAGGCUAAACGAGUCUAGCGAGUUAGCAUCACCAUCAUCGCCAUCAGAUAUUCAAAAAUUGAACAUCUAACGCUGCAUGCAGUUACACGGCCUCCAGGGUGUGACCCCAUCAUCGUGUCUUCGUGACCUUGUUCCAUAUCACAGGACCAAUUCACGGCAAUCAUCAUUCAUACGGGAAUAUUUUGGAAGACAUGUUUAUAAUAAGACUUCACAUGAUUAAUACUUAUAUACUUAAUUAUAUUUAAUACUAUACAUAUGUAUUAGUACUUGAGAACAAGUAGUAAGGUUUGGAGUAAACCUCUAUGAUCAUUCAUAAAUAUUUAUUAAGUGUUUACACUAAGUAAACACCUCGCCAAUUCAAUAUUGAUCAAGAGACAAAGCCUAUCAAUCAUCUACAUUCAGUAUGUUCAAUCAAGAAAUAUUUUUUCACUACUCAUUACUCAUCUAUCUAGACUCACCUUUGAGUCUAAGAGAUUGGCUAAGGAAGACUAGACUCGAGCUCAAGCUAAUCACACUCCACUUCUUCUUCACUUCCAUAUUCAGAAUAAAGACAAGGCAUGACGGGCUGACCAUUCCAAUCUCCUCGGGUAACUGAACAAAACAAAGUUGUUGGAACUUAAGGUUCAUCAUUCCGGUUCAAAAAGAAACUCAUCUCAGCUUAUAACGUUUCAGUUUAGUUCCGCUAAUAUUAGUUUGGUACAAGACAAGUUCAGGUCUGGUCCUAAAAAAUCAGUUAAACUCAGACUAUAUCUGUUCAUGACAAGUUCAGACCAUAGACAGCUCGGCUCAGAUCAGUUGAAGACAAGAUCAAAUCAGUUUGGUUUAAUUCAUACAAUUCACAUAAGUUCAGCUACUGGUUCUAUGAUACAAAUUCAAUCAUACACCAACCAAGAGUGAACCUUAUAUGAAUUUAAACAACUGUUCCUGAUAGGUUUAUCAAGACACAGCACUUGGUUAUCAUCAAACAGAAGUAAAACAGGAGACUGAAGCUUAACAAAAACUGAUCUCAUCAAACCCAUAAGCUCUUACCGAUUCAAAUCAACAAUCUUCUGAAUUCAGAUGGUACACAACUUAUCGUUGAAGCCACUCCUAACCUGAUCAGAGCCAUAUCAAGACAAGGUCGGAUUCAUUCAGACAAAGCCUCAAGUGUUUCCAAACCAACAAAACUUCUCACUGAAAACUUAUCAAAAUACAUCUUACCGAUCAAAACCCAAAGGCUGAAGAACAUGGAUGAUUCUGAACUUUAGGACACAAAAUAUUCAGCUCUUAACCACACCAAUACUCACUGAUUAAAGUCAGAAGAGGGUGAGAAAGGGUCGUCCAAGCUCACUUCUCUUCUCUUAUUUUUUUUUCUGAAUUUUUCAUGUAUUUUCCUCGCAGAUUUUUCUCUCUUUCUUUCUCUCUUUCUCUCUGAUUUUCUUGUGGUUAUGGACGACCAGAAGAGAGAAGAUGAUGUUUGAUAACAUAAGAAGUUGUUUCAGGUGAGGGUUUUCUCCCACAAAAGACAAAGCUGAGGUUAGACAGCUGGUGACAUGCUUCAGCACACCAAGCAGCACAAGCAGCUGAACAUUUCCCUUCCAUGAAGAAAGAUACAAGCAGCUGAAGCAAACAUCUUGUGACCAGCAUGUGACUUCUAAUGAGCAAGCAGGUAAGCAAAGAGGUGCAUGUCAUGUGACCUAAUUACUGAGGAAGCAAGUAGGCUAGAAGGUGCAAGGCAUGUGACUGUUCAGAAAUAAUUUUAAGAGUUUUGUCGAUAUUUUUCGGACUGUUUCGACUAAAUAUUUUUCAUCAUUCAAAUCUCGUCCUGCUCUGAAUAAACUCGUCCAGCCUGAAUCGACAAUAAUAAUUAACACUCGACCAGAACCAUCAAGAGAUGGUUUUUCGACCAAAAGACAGCCCCGUCGAGAGAUUAAUUCACCGUGUCGAUUUUUAUUUAAAUUCUGAUCUACCAAUCGUCAAACUCAUCUUAAAGAAUUUUCUCCAGCAAAAUUCUAUCUGCUCGUGAGGGUUAUUACAGUGGUGGUUUCUCCGGAGACAGGUAGUGAUUCUCAUCAGUUUGAUAAAACUAAAUUGACCGUUUUAACUCUCGUAUGAUUAAGUUUAAAUCAGUUUUCAAAACGACGUCGUUUAAUGAGUUAACAGACGUUUACUUUUUUUAAUCGAAUUUAAAACACUUAAUUAUUCGAAUUUUUUAAAUGGCCGAAUCAAUAAAAUAUGAUGUUAAAAAUGCCAAUAUUUAAAAGUUAAGGAAUAUUUUGACUCAAACACGAGUUAAAAUUUUCUAAUUUUAUUUUUAAUUUGAAAGUUUAUUAAAUAGUUGUUUUCUCAUUUAGGUUAUGCUGUUAUCUAUAUCCCGGCUAACAAUCUCGAUUUCUUUUAAAUUGUUAUUUAUUUAUCCUUUAUAUAAAAUUUCAUAUAAUUGUUGAUGUAAAAUAGUGCAUUUAGUGUUGUUGGCAAUAAAAUUAGCAUAUUAAGUGUGAUUAACGUUGAUAAAAAGUGUAACACUACAUUUAGUUUGGCUCACUUACAGAUAAAAAAUUAAAAAGGUGGGACAAUAACAAGCAAACAGAGGAAACGAGUAGAAUAUCUCUAGGUUAUCCGAAUCAAUGUAAGAGGAAAGAUAAUAUUCCCACGAGACACCCAAAGAUACUCCUCACGGUAGAUAUUUCAUUACCUGCUACGUCUCUUUCAUAUAUGCCAUCAUGCAUAGAAGACAACUCACUAUUCAUGUUGCGACGAAAUCAUUAUUUUAUUUUUAUUUUCUCAAAGACUCGAGAACGCAUGCACGAUUGAUUGUUGGUUUGUAUAAGAAAUACCAUCUUCACGUAGCAGUCCACAAAGGCUAAAUUCGCCGAGUUCAUGAAUGUUUCAUUAAGUUUCACCUUAUUUCUUUUUUUUUGGUAAAAAGUUUCACCUUAUUUCGUGAUGACUUGGGUCGACCAUCUAUUUUCCCGCGAGAACUAUUGUAUAGUGCUAUAUGUCUCUGAAACUAUUACCUCUAUCUAUUUGUCCCCGAAAAUAAAGUUUCAUUCCUAUUUCCCCCCGAAUAUAUAGUUCGAAACCUAUUUCUCCCCAAUCAUCGAAUUAGACGGUUUACUAUCGGUUCUCGAUCUAUGAUGUAAACCAGAGCCGAAAUAAACCAAAAUACAGUCAAUUAACCAGAUCAAAACCCGACCCAUUAAAACGUGAAAACCCUCUCUGUAAAAACCUCCAAAUCGCAAAAAUCACUAAGAACCCUAACUUUUGAAAUCGAUUUUAAUCUUUGCGAAGGUGAUGGCUGGAGGUCAGAGCAACACGUCUGGAGAUUCGAGGGAUCAUCAUCUAGUCGUCGACCCUCAAGAGGUGCUGGAAGAUUUUUCGGUGUUCCUAAGAAAUGUUGGUGUGGUGAGCUAAUGGUGACAUUGACGUCCAAGUCCGACCAGAAUCCAUACCGGAAAUACUUGCGAUGUUCAUUUGCAGCAGAGAAUAAGGUAAUGUGAUUGUUUCAGAUAGUGCUUGGGAUUUUUCUUUUUGAUUAUCAGUGUUGUGAUUGUUUUUAAUUUGUAGCUUCAAAACGAUAAUCAUAUCUUUAAGUGGGUGGAGGCUUUAUUGAACGAGGUUGAUACACUUUUACUUAAAAAUGCAAGACUUGAAGAAGUGAUUAAUGAGAUGGCAUCAACGAGUGUCUUUGAGAGGACUGAAACAGAGAUAAUGGCGAGGGUUGAAGAUGCAUUGGCUGAAGCAAGUGCAAAGAUGAAGAAUACAAUGAUCGUGGUUGUGAUUGGAAGCUUGACCUUGGUUGGUAUUAUGGGAGUUAUGUGUCUGAUGAGAAACUGAAGUGUUAUGCAACUGGCUGUGUUUGUUUUCUUCAUGUGUUCUGUUUGUAUUCUUGUAGACAAUGAUUGUGUUUGUUUUGUAUUGUACGUGUUUAGGACUAUUGCAAGUUAUGAAUGUGUUUUUCUUGUUUAGUAUUAUUGAAUUACAUGGUUAUUUUCAGUCUGGAACAACGGCUUGCACAAGCAAACAAACAUAAACAAAUAAUCCAUGUGCUUUCCACAUAAAAAAAAAAAGACAAAAGAUAUUGGUUUUCACAAAAGAGUUGGAUGCUUUCUACAUAAAAAGUGCAACCCCAAUAAAAUCCACAAACCCCGAGAUAAUGUUUAGACAACAUUCUAGAUAGAUAAAGACCGAAGCACUAAUCAACACAUAUCUCCAUAUCCAAGAAUUACAUGACAUCCACCUUGAGAAGUAGUUGGUGAGGCAGUUUGAGAAGCAGCUGGAGAAGAAAUAUGAGAAACUGCUGGAGGAGGAGCUUGAGAACCACCUUGAGCAGCCUGACAAAACACAAAAUGGAGAAAGAUAAGUGAACCCUAUCCUUGAUACACACAUUAGUCGAAGAAGAAUAUAACAAACCUUGUUCUUUGUGUGAAACCUUGAGUUGUGGUCAGCCAUUCCACAUAUUCCGCAAUGCAUUAUACGUUUCUUGUGCUUAGGUUGCUUCUUUGUUGGGGAUUCAUUAACUCCUUUCUUUCUUUUCUUCUCUGCUUUGGUAAUUUUCUCCUUCCCAGGUUGUUUUGGAUCAGGAGGAAUGUGAACAUCAGGAGCACUCGUACAAGGCCAAAAAGGAGCACCUCUCACUGGAACAAGACCUUCAGCAUAGUUCCUCCUCCACAUAUCAGUACGAAACCAAUGGCAGACGAAGUUUUCUGGUGCGAGUUUCUUCUGUAACAUCACGCCAUAUGCAUGCUCGCAGAGGAUUCCACAAAUCUCGAAUUUCUUGCAAGUGCAAGUUCUCCUCUCCAAACUCACAUGGUAAGUACACCAGCCAAGCUUUACUUCAUACAUCCCAUUUGUGCUUCUUGUCACGAUGCAUUUUGAAGCAUCUUUAUGCUCGGCUGCGAGAAAAUCUACAACAUAUGGUGUACAAAUACCUGGAAAAAAAAAGAACACAGAAACACAUGAAAAAAUAAAACCAGAACAUGAAAACAUAAAAAAUAAAAAAUAAAAAACAGAACAUGAUUUUACCUUUGUGACCACGAGAGACAUCAGAACGUUUAGCAAUGCGUGCCAUUGCAAGUCGCCUAACAGUCUCAAGCAUUGGGACAAAUGGCUUCUCUCUAGCUUUUGUUAUAGUGCUAUUGAAAGAUUCAGUUGAGUUGUUUUCAACAUCUUCACAGCAACUCCCUAUCUUGUAAAAAGCUCUACACCAAGUCCUUGGCUUCAUCUUCUGAACAUCAUCAUACACUUCAGAAUCAUAAUUAAAUAUUCUGUCCAAAUUUUGUUGGAACUCUGCUUCAUUAUAGCUCCAUGCUAAACUCCAUAUAUAUGGCUUCAUGUCUGAUUUACUCCCAUGUUUCUUCUUCAGAUUACCAUAGAUAUGUCUGACACACAUUCUAUGCUCAAUCUUUGGUAGCGCUAAUGAGACACCGUAUAUCAAUCCUUAAAAAGAAACACCAUCUCAGUCCCAAAUCGUCUAACAUAAGCAGAAAACAGAAAAUCUAAGGUAUAAUCCAAACCUUUUGCUGAUCUGAAACCAAGAUAAAAUCACUGCAUCCUUCAGUCCCAAGUCGUCUCUCACUUUACUCACAAACCAUAACCAGUUGUCAUUAUUUUCGACUUGGACAACACCCCAAGCUAUCGGAUAUAUAGCAUUAUCUGCAUCUCUUCCUAAUGCAACCAAAAACUGACCCUUGACUUUGUGUUUCAAGAAGCAACCAUCCAUCCCUAUCAGUGGUCUACAUGUCUCUUUCCAGGUUUGUUUGAUUUUAUUAAAACAAACAUAAAACCUGUUAAACUCUUCUUCACCUUUGUCAUUUUUCAAUGUAUCAAUCUCCACUGUCGAGUUACUAUUUGACUGAAUAAGCUCUGCCGCAUAGUCACGGAGCCUUGCAAACUGGUGAUCAUAUUCAAAUUCAAUCCACUUCAACGCCUUACUCCUAGCUACCUGACACUGCGGUCUCGACACUGUGAGUCCCCACUUCUCCUUAAUUUUUUCUUCUAUUUUCAUGGGCAUAUAAUACUCUGUUUCCUCUCUAAUGCUAUCGACGAACAACCUAGCAAUAUGUGGAACCUUCAACAUCUCACAAGAUCCAUUGUGAACACACCUAUGUUUAUCUACAAACAGCCUAACUUUCCAUAUAUUGUCACUUGGUAGGAUGGAUGCAUACACUUUCCAUUCACAAGCUUCACCUUCGCUAACUCCACCAACACAUUUAAAUCCAAUCUUGUCUUUAUCGUACUUGUACUGUUUAAUGUUUCUGCCUGAUUUUAGUGCAUAAUCAAGGACACAUUCCUUAAAAGCUACUCCAUUGAAGAAUCUCUGGUCUUUGUACAGUGUUCUGUUACCACGCUUCGCAUAGUUCGUCGACCUCUGUUUCGAAACUCUCUCAUCCUCUUUACCCUCGUUAUCGCUGUCACUUUCACUUUCUGGAACCUCAUCGUGUCGAAUUGAAGGCUCGUUGACGAAGUCCUCAACCAAUUGCUCGAUUUGAAAUUCGUCUCUCUCCACAGCUUCUUCGUCGAAUUUAUCUUCUGCGUAUUCUACAGCUUCAGAGCCUAACGCCAUUGAACUCAUCUUCUUCGUAAAAAAUUUGGGGAUUUUCUGAAAGGUCGGGUUCUGGGUUUACGUUAAUUACGUUGGCUUUGUUUUUUUUUUUGAGUAGUAAGGCUGGAUCUUUAAUCGGGUUUAAAUCCUUCUUAAUUGGAUCUUAGUUGGUUAACUAUCAACUUUAAGUGGUUUACGGUUUAGGUUAAAACAGUAAACCGAUAGUUAACCGUCUAAUUUGAUGAUUGGAGAGAAAUAGGUUUCGAACUAUAUAUUCGGAGGGAAAUAGGACUGGAACUUUAUUCUCGGGGACAAAUAGAUAGAAGUAAUAGUUUCAGAGACAUAUAGCAAUAUACAAUAGUUCUCGUGGGGAAAUAGGUGGUCGACCCUGAUGAUUUUUACGUUUAUUCGUUUUUUUCUAUCAAGCAUUUACUCUGUUUUCGUAUAGUUUACAUGCUAAAUACCCGAAAACUAAACUCAGCUAAAAAAUCCCCGAAAUGUAUCAAGUAAUUAUAACAGCGCGAGAAAAUAAAAAUAAAAAAAUGGUUGUAACGUUGUUUGUUAAUCGAAUAUGAUAUUUCCUUAUACCUCGGACGACAAAACGCUAUAAAUGGCUUCUAAAUUUAAUCCUUCACACACAUGAAAUAAAUGAAUAAAUAAAGGGCCCCACAACAAACAAAAACUUGUGGUCUUAAUUUUGAAAAUUUAUAAAAUAUUUUUGUUAGAAUUUUAUUAAUAAAAUAUUAAACCAUUGAUGUAACUAAAACCACCUAUAGGAGGAAUCAACAUAAUAAAAUAAAUAUCAAUAAACAUAAUGAAAAUAAAUAAAUAUAUUUCUUAAACCAAAAAUAUAUAUUUAUUAAUUUAGUCUUAAACAAAAUAAAUAUUUAAAUUCAUUUCUUACACGUAUGAAUAUUUUUAUAAAAACUGUUUUUCUCUUCUGUAUAUUCAACAAAAGAUUAUUUUUUUUAAUUAUAAUUGUGCAUUCCACAGAUUUUUUUAAUUCCAUACUCCCUCUAUUUUUUAAUAUAAGUCGUUUUAGAGAAAUUUUUUUGUUCCAAAUUAUAUGUCGUUUUUGGUUUUUUAUGUAAAAUUUAUUAAUAAUUAAUGUUGUAUGACCAAUGAUAAUAUAUCUUCUAUUUUUUAUUGGUUGAAUUGUGGUUAGGUAAAUAAUUAAUAAUAUUUUUGUUUAGAAAAUAUAAGAAAUUAAUGGUUUUCUUAAUCUACGUGCUUAGCUGUAAAACGACUUAUUUUAAAAAACGGAGGGAGUAUUAGUUUUCCAGUUAUAGGCCAACAUAGCUAUUCUAUAAAUGGCUUGAGAGCCUCCCCUAUAGUAUAGUUCAUACUCAUACCAAAACAAGAUAUCUCUCUCUCUCUCUCUCUCUCUCUCUCUCUCUCUCUCUCUCUCUCUCUCUCUCUCUCUCUCUCUCUCUCUCUCUCUCUCUCUCUCUCUCUCUCUCUCUCUCUCUCUCUCUCUCUCUCUCUCUCUCCUCUGUUUUUGAGAAACAGAGCCUUUCAAGAUCUGUUUUGUUUGACUUUUAAUCUUCUCUCUCUUGCUUGCAUGGUUUAAAAAUCUUUCUCGUCAGAAUUGAAAAUCGAGGUAAAGUUUUCUCGCCAAAUCUCUUCUCUCUUCAAGAAAUCUAAGAAGAACGUUUCCUAAUACUCUGCUUUCGUUGUUGUUUCUCUCCAUGUUAGUUUGAGAUCCCAAGAAAGGAUUUGUAUAAUUUUUUCUUAUUUUCCUUGUAAAUUCAGGUAAUUUCCUCAAAACCCUUUAUAGAUUUAAGCUUAAUUCGAACAAAAGUACGAUGCUUUCAGUAAUUAAAUUAGCUGAAUCUGCAAACUAAACUCCAUUUCUUCGGAGAAUUUUCAUUGUUCACAAAAAAAUAUAUCAAGAUUUAGCAUAAAUGUCUAAACAUUGAUUUCCGGAUCGUGAUUUAGAUAUGUUUGAUUGAAAUGAUCUUAAAAUUAAUUCAUUUGGUCUUAAAAUAAAGAGGAUGGGUGGUGAGGCAGAGAUCAAGCAACAAUUACAACCUAAAUCUCUUCCAGCUGAAACAAUUGAGAAGAAGCAACACAACGUGAAAAGGAGGAGAUUAUGGCAGAAAGUGAAGUACCAGUUGGUGGAGUAUCACGCAUUGCCUGCUUAUCUGAGAGACAACGAGUACAUCAUUGGUCAUUACCGAUCCGAAUGGCCUAUCAAACAAAUCCUUCUCAGCAUCUUCACUAUCCACAACGAGACCUUGAAUGUUUGGACGUAAGUUUCUUGAUUUUUAUCCCUUUCUUGAGAUCCAAGAAACAUUGAAUGUGUAUGUGUGUGUGGGUUUGGGAUUUGCAGGCACUUGAUUGGUUUUUUCCUGUUUCUUGCGCUUACUAUAUACACAGCCACCAAAGUACCAAGCGUUGUGGAUCUUCACUCACUUCAAGACCGUUUACCUGAUAUCUUGAGGAAGACAGAUCUUCACAAACUUCACUCUGACCUCAUGUCUCACCUUCCUUCUAGUCCAUCUAAGUGGCAUGUCAUGGAGCUUCUCUAUAACUGUCUGCCUGAAAGAUUCUCUCAUGGCAACUACACCGACAUGUGUGUUCUUGUAAGAAAACACACAAUCUUUCUUUGCUUAUAACGGUUUCAAACAGUUUGAGUAGUUCAUAUUUGUUAACCUAAACAGACUUCCAACCUAAAAUUGAUAAACGUAUUGACUUGUUCAUUAUUAUUUUAUUUUAUUUAACUUAUUUAUCUUAUAUAGGGUUACCCGGCCCAGCCCUAUAUAAUCUAAGCUCAGUACUAAAUGAACCCUAACCCUUUUAGAACCCAUCAAAAUAUGUAAAAGAGGGUUGAACCCUUUUCAACCUUUUUUAAACCUUUUAUCUAGGGGUGUUCAAUCCGGAUAUCGGUUCGGUUUCGGUUUGGUUUUUUUUGGUUUUCGGUAUUUCGGUUAGUAAAAUAUAACUACCAUUCUAAAUCCAUAUUUACUUUGGUUCGGUACGGUUUAUAUACCGUCGGUUUUCGGUUUAUUUGGUUUUAUACCAAAAAACAUAAUUAUUUUGUUUGAGAUCAUAUUAUAUGAAUUUUAGAGUCAUAUUGUCAACACAGUCAUUUAUUAAAAAUAUAUUACAUGUUCAAAUAAAUAAACAAAAAAGUAAAAAUGCUUCUACCAUCAAAUAAAAUAAUCAAAUCUAUAACCAAAAUCAAAGCUUGAAAUUUUGAAUAUAAAAAUAUGAAACAAAACAGAAACAUGAAAGAAAAUUUUUUUCACUCUUCCAUAUUUAGUGUUCAUUAAAGUCAUGCUUUUUCAAUUGAAAAUUUUCCAUUAAUUAUUGUCCAUCAAAUUUAUAAUCUUCAUAUUAAUUUAGUGAAGACUAAAAUAAAUCAAAAAGAUAAAAAAAAUACUUAGAAAAUAAGAUGUCUGAAUUGCGAUGUAUUGUUAUUUAGUUAUAGUUCAAGUGUUUUACAAAUUAAGGUUUUUUAUUACUAUAAAAUCAUGGUAAUAGUUAUUAACACAAAUUUAACUUAUGUAACAAAUAGAUUUUCAUGUAUUGUUAUAAAAUAGAUACAUAUUUACAUGUUUCUACUUUUAAUCGGUUUUGUUCGGUUUAUUCGAAUAGAUACAUAUUUUAUAACAAGAAACAUUAUAUCCUACUUUUAUCUCUUUUUAUGUGAACACAUUUUCAUCUAUUUUAUAACAAUACAUGUUCACAUAUGUAUCUAUUCGAAUAAACCGAAUUUAACUUGUGUUCACAUAUGUAACAAAUAGAUUUUUAUGUGAACACAUUUUCAUCUAUUUUAUAACAAAUUUAACUUGUGUUCACAUAUUUUAAUCAAAUAUAUUUUCAUGUAUUGUUAUAAAAUAGAUUUCCUACUUUUAUCUCUUUUUAUGUGAACACAUUUUCUACAAUCUCUUACAAAAUACAUAUUUCUAAUAUAUUAACAUGUGUUUCAAAAAAAUCUAAUAUAUUAAAAUAAACAAAAAAUGGUUUUUGAUUAAAAUAUUUCUUGUUUUUAAUCUAAAGACUUGUGAUAAUGACAAAAAAAACUUAUUUUUUUAUUAUGGUGAAAAACAAAAAAAAAUUCAUUUUUGUGAUUAUGGCAAAAAAAAAACUAAAUUUUAAGAUUUUGGCAGGAAACCUCGUUUCUCGGUUUUGGCAGAUUAAUUCAAUUUUUUGAGAAAUAUUAUUUUUGUGGUUUUGGUCGGAAACCUCGAUUUUGGCAGGAAAUCUUGUUUUAUAGUUUUGGCAAAAUUUUGAUUUUUUCAGUUUUGACGGGAAAACUUGAUUUUUCGGUUUUGGAGGAAAAUCUUGGUCUACGGUUUUGGCGGGAAACCUCGAUUUUUCGGUUUUGGUGGGAAAUCUUAUUUUACGGCUUUGGCAAGAAAAUUUAAUUUCUCGAUUUUGGCGGGAAACCUCGAUUUUUCGGUAUUGGCGGGAAAUCUUGUUUUACAGUUUUGGCGGAAAAACUAGAUUUUUUGGUCUUGGCGGGAAACCUCGAUUUUUCGGUCUUGGCGGAAAACCUCGAUUUUUUGGUUUUGGCGAGAAACCUCGAUUUUUUGGUUUUGGUGGGAAACCUCGAUUUCUCGAUUUUGGCAGGAAAUCUUGUUUUACGGUUUUGGCGGAAAACUUCGAUUUAUCGGUUUUGGAGGGAAACCUUGAUUUCACAGUUUUGGAGGGUAACCUCGAUUUCUCGGUUUUGCCGGGAAACCUCGAUUUCUCGGUUUUGGCGGAAAAUCUUGUUUUACAGUUUUUGCGGAAACUUCGAUUUCUUGGUUUUGGUGGGAAAACUUGGCGAAUUUGGAAGGAUGUUGGUUUUUUGAAGUUUUAUCCCUACACCAAAACAUUGUUCUUUAACAAAAAAAAAACAAAAGUUAUCUAAUAGAGUCAACCCUGUCAAUACCCUUUAUUUCUUUAGCCCAACCCUAAAUCAGUCCUAAACACUUUAAGAGUAAUGCAUUAGGGUUAGGGUUCUUAAAUUAUUAGAUGGGCUGGGCCAAACCUAAAUCUCACAACCCUAUAUAACAUUCCUAAUCUUAUAUAUUACGUAGAUUCUUUUCCGAUUUCCGAUAUGGGAGACUUUGUCUCUAAUAAUAUAUUUCUCUUUAUGUUGCAGCACUCAGUGAAGGAAGAUCUUGCAAACAUGAUAGCUCCUCUGAUCUUCAGACCAAUCACCAGAUGGCCAUUCUAUGCAUUUCUAGGCGGUGCAAUGUUCUGUCUACUAGCAAGCAGCACGUGCCACCUCCUCUCUUGUCAUUCAGAGCGAGUCUCUUACAUAAUGCUUAGGCUUGACUACGCAGGAAUAGCAGCUCUCAUCGCUACUUCCUUCUACCCUCCGGUCUACUACUCCUUCAUGUGUGAUCCUUUCUUCUGCAACCUCUACUUAGGAUUUAUAACAACCUUAGGAACCGCCACCGUGCUCGUCUCUUUAAUACCGGUUUUCCAAACACCGGAAUUUCGUGUUGUGAGGGCCUCUCUGUUCUUUGGAAUGGGAUUCUCUGGUGCGGCUCCGAUCCUACACAAGCUGAUCAUCUUUUGGGACCAGCCUGAAGCGCUUCACACUACAUGUUAUGAGGUUUUGAUGGGUUUGCUUUACGGGUUAGGAGCUUUGGUUUAUGUGACUAGGAUACCUGAGAGAUGGAUGCCUGGUAAGUUUGAUAUAGCUGGACAUAGUCAUCAGUUGUUUCAUGUUCUGGUGGUGGCCGGUGCCUUCACACACUAUAGAGCUGGGCUUGUGUAUCUCAAGUGGAGAGACAUUAAAGGCUGUUGAAUAGUAAGAUGGAUAUUGAUGAUUUGAAUUUUUUUUGUAGCUUCCCCAAAAAAUUGGAUUCUGUAAAGUCUAUGUGUAAGCAAAUGUUUGUUUAUAUUACGAGUAAUUUGAACAGGUAAUUUGAACUAGAUGUUUCGUCCGCACAUGCGGACAUAAACAUUUUAUAAUUGUUUAUUAAUAUAUGCAUUACUUAUUAAGAGACUAUAAUGAUAAAUUAUUGUUUAUGUUUUCGUUUGAAUUUUUUUAUGUAUUAUAAAUUUUUUGAAAAUGUAUUUGUAUACUAUAAUCAUCAUUAAAAAAAUAGUUAUAGAAAUCACUCAAGAUUAUCUUUUUAAUUAUUAAAAACUAAUAGUUACUUGAUUACUAUUUAGAUAUGUGUUUUCUGUUCUUAAAUUUCUUUUGUUAAAAGAUAUUUUUAGAUAACAACUAGGCGUGAGUAUAUUAACCAAAAUCCGAAUCCGAACCGAUCCGAAAACAUGAAACAUAAACCGAACCUAAGUUAAAAAAACCCGAACGGGUUUAGGAUUCAACUAGUCUGGAUACGUAAUGUGCCCAGUCCAUGGACCAGUCCGACGAAUCAGACCAGCAUGAAGAUCAUAACGUUCCAGACGUCCCAGUUGAGGUUCACUCUUCCAAUCAGACCAGACAGAGCGAUCGGGCCGUGUACCGACUCGACCCGUGAAUGUCCGGAUUGGAGCUUCGGCCAGAUCCAAGACCAGAUGAUCGAACUGACCGAACCGAAGCUCGUCUUUCCCGAACAACUCGACAAGCUAAGGCUGAUGUUCAAGCCAUAAUCAACUUAGGACGAGCCAAUUCCGAUUCAGACCGUGGCUUCUCUCUUUUGGCCCGUUUGGCUCGUACCAUAUGCACCGGCGACUGUGCUGAUGAUCUUGCUUCCUUGUUUGAUCCGAUUAUGGACUUCUCCUUUGGAUAUUUCACUAAGGCAGGGAUCCUUAAGCUCCCAGAAGACUUGGGCCAUGCUGGAACACAACUUGUCCAAUCCGAACUUCCUGCGGUCCUUGCUGAUUGUCCCGCUCAUGUACUGAUCUUUUCCAUCUUGGACGCAACCAGCUCGGACGAAUCUGGACAAGUGCCGAACAGUCAUCUUGACUAGUCUUCUCCUAUUUUCGAGCCUUGACCAGAUCUAGUCAAGUUUAUAUUUUCUAUUGCUUGUUUUUCUACAAUUUUAUUUAUUGUCUUUGACUACAAAACUCUAUAAGUAUGUAAUCUCUUCUAAGUAAUAAAGCAAUCGAUUUUGUCUAAGCUUUUGAGUUAAACUCUUUGUUCUUUGUCUAGAACUUUUCUUUGUUUCUUGGUUAGUCAAUCCAAGCAAAUAUCUCUCAAUUUGUUGGUCUUGUGAGUCAUAUCAAGCAACGGUUCGAGAUUCUUCUAUUGGUAGACUUGUGAGUCAUAUCAAGCACCAACUGAAGUCGGGAAUAUCGGAGGCUCUUCCGCAACCUUCGUGCGACCCAUCAAUCCAUCUAGUUCUCCAUCCGAAGUCCAUAUCAAAUCUGAUCCAGUCGAUUGAACCGAUCUUAGGGUCCUUCAAGUGGUAUCAGAGCCACUCGUCUGGUAUCUUCUGAAUCAUUCCAUCUUCUCAUCUUCCAUUUCUUCAUAAACACUUCUUCUUCUAUCUAUCUUGAAUCCGGGCCCCCCAUUACCAUCCAUUUAAAAAAAAAGAUCUACGAAAAAAAAAGAGUUUCAAGUUUGAUUUCUGGAUUGGUGGUGGAAAAGAAAGCCUGCUGGCUGAGGAGAAAUCCAGCCUUUGAGGUGGUUAAAACGGAUUCUAAAACCAAAAUCUCUUAUCUUUCUAUAUUGAGAAAUAUCCCUUGUGUUUGCUUCGAUUUGUCCAUUGGGAUUCUUAGAUCUGUUCUUCUUAUAACCUUGAGUGGAAACUUGUUUGUGUGACCAUCCAAAUUCUGAGAGAAACACGUAAGUGGGUGAGGAUCAAACACUUGAGAGAAUGAGGAUUUUUAUCUAUCGUUUUGUGUUUAAAAAAUUUCAGGAACCAUGAGUAGUGAUGAUGAACAAAAUCGUCUCGGAAACUCAGUUGCUGGAUUGUCUAACCUUCAAAUGCGUGCUUUGAAUGAUUCUAUGUCUAACAUGUUGAGCGCAUGUUUAGAUCAAAUUCAUCAGCGGCUUGAUGAGCUUCAGGCCAACCAAACUCAUCCUAGAACCGGAGCAAAAAGAAACCGUCCGCGAAGGAACAACCGGUCCGACGAUGAGAUCCAAGAAGAGGACUUCCAAGAGGAUGAGGCCAGAUCCGCAUACCAUCCAAGAAGAGGUCCUAGAAACCGAGAUCAAGGUGAUGUCAAUCCAUUUGCUAGAACUGGUCGUACUGAUGAUAGUUUGAACAGAUUGAAACUGAAAAUUCCAUUUUUCGAUGGCAAAAAUGAUCCUGAUGCAUUUUUUGAGUGGGAAAGGAAAAUUGAGCAUGUGUUUGAUUGUCAAAACUUUUUUGAACUUAGGAAAGUAAGACUUGCUGGUACUGAAUUCUCUGGCUACGCUAUUAAUUGGUAUGAUCAAGUUUUGACCCACAGGAGGAGAACAUGUGAACGGCCGAUUGAGACAUGGGACGAGCUUACCAUGCUGAUGAGGAAAUGAUUCGUGCCUGCUCACUAUCACCGCGACCUCAACCAUAAGCUAAGACGCUUGCUUCAAGGAAUCAAGUCUGUGGAAGAUUAUUACCAAGAGAUGGAGAUCUUGAUGAUCAAGACGGACACGGAUGAGCCUUUGGACGCCACCAUGGCUCGAUUUCUUUCAGGCUUAACUGUGACAUUCAAGACCGUAUGGGGCUUCAAGAGUAUGGUAGUGUGGAACAGAUGCUACACAAAGCCAUUUUGUUCGAGUAACAAAUCAAGAGGAAGAGUUGCUCAAAACUGGCCAUUACUUCCAAACCGGCCUUCUCUCCCAAAUCGGCCUUUGCUACUAAGCUAAGCUAUCAAGACAAAGGUAAGUCUUCUUCCACAACACAUAAUGCCUUUAAAAUUGAUGUUCCUGCUCGUGAUGACAAAGGAAAGGCAGUGGAGACAUCCGGUCGAGCAAGGGACAUUAGGUGCUUCAAGUGUCAAGGUCUAGGACACUUUGCUAUGGGCCUUAAAGGGUCUGAGCCCAUAGCAAGAACACGAGCUUGAGAGGGAGUCGCCGAGGUCGCGGGGAUCGCGUAACAAGAAACAAAGAUCUCGUAGCCACCACGGAGAUCUCGUGCUCGACGCACUAUAAAGGUAGAAGAAGAAGAAAUACGGAAGAGGACGCGUUGAAAACCCUAGAGAGAGCUACACAUUCAUAUCGACCUUGUUUUCUUCCCACCUUUUAGAUUCUUUCUUUACCGAUCUCAUUUGUAUCACUCGAUCUAGUUCAAUUCAUUGUAUUUGAUCUUAGUCAUCAAUAAAGUCCAUUUUCACCUACUGGAAACUGUUUAACAUCGUUGUGUUCUAAAGAUAUUGUUGCCUACAUCAUUUGUCUUCCCUAGAUCAAACCCCGAUCACUAUCAAAUACUUUGUGUAGAUUUUAGGUUCUACAUUUUGGCACCGACUGUGGGAAAGAUAAACGAAAAACAUCUUUUCUAAGAAAAUGAUCUAAGUUUCCUAAGCGCGAUUAUGGAUCCCAACCAAACAACCAGAACCACGUCGUCGGGAGUCAACGACGUCGAUCCUAUCAGAUCCGACUCAGGAGCUGGAGUGACCCCAACUGGUUUAACGGAAGCCAAUGAUGUAACCGAAACAGCUCCAACACAAUGAACCCCUCCGAUCGGGACUUCGAGUCAAGAUCGAUCUCUUCCGAUCAACCAGAUGACGAUCCUGGAACAAACUGGAGCUCGAGUUUGGAACUGUCCCAGAGAUAUAUCAUCCCUGACGACCUAAACCCGAUCCCAAUCCAGACCGAUCUCACCGACUCCUCUAGCCCAAACCCCAGGAGAACAAACCGAACUCCGAGGAAUGAUGACAACUCUAAUUGACUAGAUUCAUAGUCAAAGGGUCACCAACCAAGCUAUUGCUAAUAGACUGAACCAAGCCGAAAGGGAGCUCGCAGAGCAUCGAGCUGCAAAUAUUCGGGAAAGAAAUCAAACGCCCCUCGAUCAAUUAAGGACGACGUCCACCGCCAAAGCACUGGACUGUUCGGCACUCCAGAGAUCCCAAGCGCCCGAUCCAGACGCUACGCGAGAGAAAAUUCGCAACGACCCCCGCCGCAUGGCAUGACCCACCGAAGCUUUAGCUACAGUGGACUGGACGAUAUCGACACUGGACUCCAACGCCCACGAAGCACUCCGAUCCAAUUCCAGAACGGAUCGACGGAGAGGCAUGGGGAGCCAAGAACACGAAUCUCACCAGCAAACCAUUCUUUCCUCGAGAAUAGAACUCCAUCCGCGUCAAGGACCUUCCAUCAAGCAGGGUUCGAUAACUGUUUGAUUUUGAUGUCUCUUUGAUUUUGAUUUAUGAAUAGAUGGAUUCUUUACCAUUUUCUGUUCAAGAUGAUACAAAUAGAAAUUACACAAAGAAAAAUAAUACAAACUCGUGUUCCUCAACGUAAUAACAAAUCAAAAAGAUCAUAAAUCUUAUAUUAAGUUGUUCAAUCUUCUAACUUCAACAAUAUUGUUUCUGGUUUCACAAAGUCAAAUCAAGGAUACAUAGAAUAUUUUUUUAUUUGUUAAACAAUUCGGUUAUACCCGACAUAACCCAAACCCGAACCUUAAAAACCCGAACCCAAUCCGAAGUAUAAAAUAACCCGAACGGGUUCUGUACCUCUCCAUCCGAAAACCCGAAGCACCCGGCCCGAACCCGAAUGGAUACCCGAACGCUCGGGCCUAUUCGUUACUAUUUAAUUUACUUAAUAAUCACCUUAAAUGAUCAUAUUCUUAUUUUGACUAGGGGUAGGAAAAAAAACGAACGGAACCGACUCAAACCAAACCAACCAAACCAAAACCAAUUCAAACCGAACCAAUGUUUAUUUCAAACCAUUCAGUUGAAGAUUUUUCCAACCCGAAUGAUUCGGUUCGGUUCGGUCCGGUUUAAAACUGAACCAAACCGAGAAACCGAUGUGUUUUUGUAAUUAUUUAAAUUAAAAAUAUUAGUAGUACCAAUAUACUAAAAUUCUAAUACUAAACCACAUAUUUUUCAUUUUUAUUCAUUAACAUAUAUUCUUCAGACCUAAUAGGUAAUCAUCAAAAUAUUUGAUUUAAAAAAUAGAAAAUUUUAUAUUUUUAUAUUCUUAUAUAUAUGUAAAUGUGGUUGUUAAAUCUAAACAUAAAACCUAAAACAAAUUUUAUUAAAAUCAAUUUUUUUCCUCUCUGGUGUCACAUGGAAGAUGAUUCAUUGCAGACUUUUUAAUAAUGAUAUAAGAGAUAUUACUGACGAUUUUUUUUGUUAACUUUCAUUUCUUUUAAUUUUUAUAUACUUUUGUUACUCUUUUAAAGGUUUUUGUUUUAGUUUUAUAUUGAAUUUAGUUCACAUAGUUUAUAUUCAUAUAAUUCAUUUCUUAAAAUAUAAUUUCUCUUAAAAAAAUUAACUAAGAAGAAUCUAAUUAAACUGAUUCAAAAUUUAAAUUGAACCGAACCAAAGACAAACCGAACCGAAUAUAAACCAAACUAACUAUGGUUUAUUUCAGUUGGAAAAAUACUAUAACUGAACUAACCAAACCGAACCAAAUCUGAACUGAACCGAAAACAUAACCGAAGUACCGACAUCUAAUUUUGACGAUGAUGUCACAAAUUUAAAUGAAAAUAAAUAUUAAGACAAUGUUAUCUAUAACAGUGAGUAUCUUUUUAUUAGUGGAAACUGCAUUUUAGGGAAACAAAUCUCUGAGUAAGCUAGUUUUAUAUUUCUUUUUACUUUCAGGAUUUUAUUCUAAAUAAACAAAUGAUUUUGUGUCAAUAAUCCUAAUUCGAUUUUUCUUACCAUACAUUUAGUUGACUGAUUCAUCUCACAUCUAAGCUAAUAACACCCCAAAAUCAGUAAAACUCAUACAUCUAAGCUGUUUUCUAGAGUUUUACUUGUUACCACCCAAAUCGGCUACGUUGUAGUUCUUAUAUUUUUACAGUUUUGAGGUUUUCUCAUUUACCAUCACCAUCAUCAUCGAUGGGAAAGCACGGCGGUGCAAAGACCAGAACCGCUGUCUGUUUCUCAGAUGGAGUUAUCUUCUUUGCCGGAGCCUUCAUGUCUCUAAUUCUCGUUUGGUCCUACUUCUCAAUUUUUUCACCUUCCUCCAAUUUCACCCUAAUCGGCUUUCGACGAGGCACCGAACCGGCUAAAUGCUCCGGUUUCGACAUGCAAUUCGACCCGGAAGAUCCCGGUUCUUUUUACGACGACCCGGAUCUAAGCUACUCGAUCGAGAGACCAAUCACGGGAUGGGACGAGAAACGGAAACAAUGGCUCGAAUCGCACCCCUCGUUCAAACCCGGUUCAGAAAACCGGAUCGUGAUGGUAACCGGUUCGCAACCGGCGCCGUGUAAAAACCCGAUCGGAGACCAUCUACUGCUCCGGUGCUUCAAGAACAAAGUCGAUUACUGCCGAAUCCACGGCCACGACAUCUUCUACAGCAACUCUCUGCUUCACCCGAAGAUGAAUUCGUACUGGACGAAGCUCCCGGCGGUUAAGGCGGCGAUGCUCGCUCACCCCGAGGCGGAGUGGAUUUGGUGGGUUGACUCCGACGCCAUUUUCACCGAUAUGGAAUUCACGUUGCCGUUGCACCGUUACCGUUAUCACAAUCUAGUGGUUCACGGUUGGCCGAGUAUUAUCUACGAUCAACAGAGUUGGACGGCCGUUAACGCCGGCGUUUUCCUCAUUAGGAACUGCCAAUGGUCGAUGGAUUUGAUUGACACGUGGAAGAGUAUGGGCCCGGUGAGUCCUGACUACGCAAAGUGGGGUCCGAUCCAACGGUCUAUAUUCAAAGAUAAGCUCUUUCCCGAGUCGGAUGAUCAGACGGCUCUGAUUUAUUUGCUGUAUAAACACAAAGAGGUGUAUUACCCUAAGAUAUACCUCGAAGCAGAGUAUUAUUUCCAAGGGUACUGGAUCGGUGUCGUUGGGGGUUUCUUCGCUAACGUGACGGAGCGGUACCUCGAGAUGGAGCGAGAGGACGCCACGUUGCGGAGACGGCACGCGGAGAAGGUGAGCGAGCGAUACGGUGCGUUUAGAGAGGAGAGGUUUUUGAAAGGCGAGUUUGGAGGGAGAGGGAGUCGCCGGAGAGCGUUCGUGACGCAUUUCACGGGAUGUCAGCCUUGUAGUGGGGACCACAAUCCGAGUUACGAUGGUGACACGUGUUGGAAUGAGAUGAUCAGAGCCCUUAAUUUCGCUGAUAAUCAGGUGAUGCGCGCGUACGGGUACGUGCAUACUGAUCUGAGUAAGACUUCUCCUCUUCAACCUCUGCCGUUCGAUUAUCCUGAUGAGACAUGGUGAUUUCUGUUGUGUGGUUUAACUUUUAGUGAUUAUAAUGGUCUGGAAUAUUUACUAGUUCGUUGCAUUAAUCUUGAUUAGGAGUAAUUUGAAUGAUAAUUCAAAUUAAAAAAAACUAAAACUAAAAAGGAAUUGGACGUAGAGUAUUAUCCAUGUCCCAUGCAUGACACAACCAACGUUUUGAAUUUAGUUGAAACACAUUAUAUAUGAUGCAUAUAAGUCAAAGCUAUUCAAUAGCAUAUCAUAUGUUUUCAACAUGCAUCAUGCAUGAGCAACCGUUAUCGAAAAAUGUGACUACUCUAUCGCAAAAUUUGUUGUAUUCUAUUUCCUCAAAUCAUCCACACCAUUAUGAGCGCUCACAUCGACAGUCCAUUCAUAAUAAUUGGGUUGGUGAUGUACAUAUUUAGCUGCCUAUCAAAUCACAAUCACAUGUAUAUCCUUAUGUAUUGCGUACACAUCUACUAAUUAUAAUAAUGAUAUAGAAGAGAAGACUAAUUUCAUUAUAUGGAAGAAGAUGAAAAUAUUAUAUGGUAAUAGAAAAUGGAAUAUUGAAAAUAUUAUACAAACGACAUUACGUUAACGUUUUUGUUUUCACUUUUACAACAAUAUGGCAAAGCAGUACCACAAACACACAUGUGUUUCACUCUUAAUUACGUAAACCACUCAAAUCAUUGAAUCACACAAGAUACGGAAUAUUACAUACAAUAGUUACUGGAGGGCAUAAGUAUAAUUGGCAACACUGUAACUCUUACUCCUUUGAGUCAUCUUGUGAUUACGCCCGAAAUUAAUCAAAGGACUUGUCUCAUCAAUUCUCUCAAACCUAUGAUGAUCAUCACAACUUCUCACACUCUUAGCCUUCCUCAAUUUCGUGGACGGCCCAUGGCGCGUAUCAGCGGUCGUACUCCUAGCUGAUGCGGAUCUUACAAGUUCAGCUACACGAUCCUCUAUGGACCUCGCAGAAUUUUGGGAGUGGCUUGCGCUGAGACUUCGUGAGAGAGAGCUUACGGAGCAGACUGGUAUUCCCAAAGACAUGGCGCCGCCAAGGUCAUGGGAAGAUAAUUGGUUCAUGCUUUGUAUGUACAAGUCUCUAGCUUUCACCACCAUCUUUAUGGGAACCUUCAUGUACUUGCGUAGUCUGCUCUCUUUUUUCGUGCUCAUAUUUUUCUUACUAAGAGAUUCCAAAGUUUCUCCUUUCCAAAACACACAAAAAGAAAGCUGUAUUUAAACAUAGAUAAAGAGAAGCUAGCUUAGUAUUUACAAAGAUUUUUUUUGUUUGGAAAAUUUAACAAUUUAUAUCAAACUUAAAAUAUGGUUGAUGGCACUUGCGUACGGAGAUGCAUCAUACUAUUUAAUAAGUAUAACACGAGGUUUUCAUUGAUUAAAUUUAUAUAUAUAUAACAUGAGAUGUUGAGAGUUUGAUGGAAUCCAUACUAAAAAAGCUAAAUUUUGAUUAUGACAACAAAAUAAAUGUUAUCUUACUCUCAAUUGGGGCGCCUGUUUAAUUGUAACCCCCAAAUUAUUAGACCCAUUCUAGUAUUUUUAUAUUAUGUGCAAGAGAAAAAAAAAUGUAAACUCAACAGUUGACUUCAAAAUAUGAAAAUAGAAGAUGUGGACAUUAUACCAUGAAAAUAAUUGAAUAUCACAGCUAUACUAAUACUUAGAGACAAAUUAACGUAUUUGAACAAAGCAAAUUUAUCAUAUAUAACAAUUUCAUCGUUUCCAACGAGAUCAGGAUUAUAUUAAGCUUGAAGUAAUGUAGUCUGAAUGCAAAGUCUGCAUUGACCAAACAAAGUUAUUGGGUGGUCCCUUUCUAACUAGUACAUGAGCUGUCACGUUGAAAUUCCUUUUGACAUGAUGAAAGCUAGAUCGAUAAUAGUUUAGCAAUCCAAGCUUGUUUUUAAUCAUGUUUAGUAUUGAAACAUCUUCAUAUCUCCUUUCAAACAAACUUAAUUGCAACCCUCUUGAUGUUUCGUAAAGCCAUACAACUAUUAUACCUUCUACUUCAACGCUUGAUAUAGUCCUGAAGUACCUGAACCCUAAUAAUUUGAAGCUCUUUGAUGAUCCCUUAACAUUCAUCUGCGACAACUCCUCGUGAUGCUGAAUCAGAGAUAGCAUAGUUGCAUUUGAACCAUCCUAUAUUUGGUCGAGAUCAAGAGUAAGAUGAAACAAGUGGUGUUUAAAGUGAGUUAUGCGGUAGCAAAUUCGUAUGGUAACUUGUCUUUCAAAGUAGUCGUAAUCCAUUCAUAAACAUCCACAUGCAAGUUUAACUCUUGCUGUGUAACGUUUAAGUUAACCUGUAUUUUUAAUGAUUAGUGAAUCCUAUAUUCUAUAUAGAUUAAUGAUAUGCCUAAUGUUUUUCCCUGUGCUUUAAGAUAGAGAAAAUAGAAGGAAAUCUUUGAUAAUCAUUAUAUUGAUACUUAUGUCAGACAAGUAACCAAAAAAAAAGGGUUUUUAUCUAUAUAAUAAGUACACUUCUUUUCAAAUUCAAAUCCGAAGGCUAUUGAUACGUUUUCUUUUUUGAUACGUAAUAUUUCUUCUCAUCAUUACAAUAACAAAAUCUCUCGUGGACGGCGUUCUUUAUUCUGUUGGACCAAAUUAAUUGUUCAAGGUGUUCCAUAAUAUUCCUGUCAAACACAUUAUAAAACUAACAGUACAAUAUUGAGAACACACUCGUUGAAAAUUUCCAUCAUAUUCACUCAUGAGCAUAAUUUGUAAAUAAAGGAAACUCACACAAAAAAAAAAGUUCUCAAAAGUCAAACCAUUGGAAGAGUCAAAAACCAAAGGCUUGACCGGCCUUGAAAAUGUUGCACAUGAAUCAUAAAUUCAUACUAUAUAUGUGAGAUCCUACACAUUCAAACUUCACCUCCAGAAAUAUUUGCUUAUCCUAAAAACUUUCAUAAAUCUGUAAUCUCAGGCGUUCAUGUCUCAGAGUUACCUUAGUGCCCAAGAAACUAAUACACUGACAACAAGAAAUUACCUAAUGUCACUCCAUUCGACCAGAAAGCAACCUUCAAAGCCAAUGAAGAGGCCUGUAUCAUCGCCUUUGAAGUCCAUGCAUCCCCAGGUUUACCGAGUCGAGCCAGCAAACUUCAAAGAGUUGGUUCAGAGGCUAACUGGUGCACCUGAGCACGAUGAUGUGGUUAAACCCUUCAAGAGUUUUGAUGAUUUGGCAAAUGAGAGUUCUUCAUCAUUAGCAUUUGAUUUAUCAUCCUCAUCAUGGGGAGAUUUAUCACUUCAAACUCCUGCAAAUCUCUCCAGAUGGUAGCUUUUAUAUAGGACAUAACAUUUUAUUUACUCUUGCAGGUACUUCCAUUGAUUGUAAUUCUCCACAUGCCUAUUAUGUAUUAGCCAUUUAAUAAAACGAGAAAGAAAUAUAAGAAAGUAAUGUUUAUUAACUUUUUAAUGGUAACUUGUGGAAUAGUAGAAUGAACUAUUCUGCAGAACUUUACGGAUUUUUUUUUCAAUCAUGAUCAUAUUAAAUCGGUUUUUUUUGGAGUCUAUAGCUUUGAUUGGUUAAACCUUUUUUUUUUUGUAACCAAAUAAUAAUUUGAACAUUUCUAAUUUAAAACAUAUUUUAAACUCGAUUCUAUACUAUAUAUAAUUAUAUACAUGUGGUAUUUUGACACUUCCAUUGAAAGAAUUAAUCAGUGAUUCUAUAUACACAUAUAUAUAACUUGUGGAAGUAAUUUGAAGUUAACGACAAAUAAUUAACCUAAGGGUUAUUCAUGUCUAUAGAUAUAAUCAAGAUGAGCCGUCAAUGUUCUUCUCGUCAAGCAAUCUUCGUCGUCGUCUUUCUCGCAUCUCUCUCCCGCCGCUUCAUAUAAUUUUGAAUCCAUCAUUUCCUAAAAUGUAAUUAAACAUAUAUGAAUCAAGAAAUGAAAAUAUACCAAUUACGUAUAAAAUCUACAUUAUAACCGGGUAUGUAGUAUAUAUGACUAACCAGACUAAGUAUGUCGGCCGAAGAUAUUGUGAAGGAGGGGAAAUCGGCCGGUUCAGGGCGGGCGGUGCACCUUAGCGUGGUGGUGCAACAAAGGACGAGAGCUACCAUGAGCAAAGUAGAGAGAUUAUCCAUUUUGUGAUUAAUUUUUGGAUAUUGACACCAAUAAUCACCAAACAAUCUUUAUAUAGAGUCAUUCUUGGUUAACUAUAUUCUUAAUGUAUUCUUUAUUUUAGACUGUUUUGUUCUUAUCUUUUAUUUUGUCAGUGUUCUUAUCUUUUCCACACACACAAAAAUAGUAAAUAAACACACAUAUAUCUCUUUACUCGUCCUGGGAAUAGGAAAAGAAGAAUAUAUAUAGUUUUCAACAUAUUUUUUUAGUUUUUAGUUUGUUGAAUUUGAUUAAAUCUAGAGUAUGCUAAUAACUUUCUAAAUAUUAACCAUCAGACCAAAACAAUUUAGCUGUGUAUAUAAAAACUAUUUCAACAACAACAUGUACAUCUAUUUUUCUUCGAAAGUAACUAAUUACCUUGUCUUCUUUAUAUUGAAACAUAUGGAAGUCGAUCGUGGGACGCAUGAAUUCUUUUGCCACUGAGUAUUGGCUUGGUCACUUGAGUGGAGCGAAGAAGAUUGUGGCUGGACCGAAACCAAAUUAAUACACAUGAUAAUGAAUAUCAAAAAUGUUGAUGUUAAUCGAGAGCUCUUGGUCUAGUGGUAAUCAGGAGCAAAGUUACAUUGGCGCUUCUGGGUGCAAGUCCACCCAUAAUGUUUUAAGAACAUAAAAUAGUUAUGACUGAAUUAGCUCAGUUGGUAGUGAAUGCACCCAGUGGAUCUUAUGGUAGGGAUUCCAUGCACCCACAAUCACAUUUAUUACAUAUAUAAUAUAUUUUAUCAGCAUUAUGCACCCAUUAAUUUAUUUUUCUGGCUUCGUCCCUAAUGAUAAUGGAACUCUAGCUGGAGUGCCUGUUCUGGGUUCGGAUUGUCUUAAUCACCUUCCCGCUUAUAUCUAUGCGUGUCCAAAUAUAAGGUUUUGUGGGGAUUAGUUUGAGUUUACCGUCAGGGAUCCCCACGAACAUCAAAAUAAACAAAGCAAAAACAAAAAUGUUGACGUGUUACCUAAUGUAAAAUCAACGUUAGGCCAAAAUUACCAUUAUAAGGCCUUAAAUAUAAUUUUCUUUUUGGGUUCAACCUGUUCUUAUGAAAUUCAACACCAUCAAUAACGUGAACAUCACAGAGUCACAUGUGGAUUGGUGUUUCAUUUUAGUUACUUCAGCCCAUGAUUCAGCAAUGACCAUUAGUACAUUUUUUGUCGUAGUCAUUAGUACAUUAAUCGCAAUAUGUACCACUAUAUAAAGUUAUUUCCCGAGAAAACGAUCGAUCUUUACUGUUGUAAAGAAAAACAAAUCGACGAAAGUUACCACGUCAUGUAGCAAUAUUAUAAAUAACAUUUGACCAUUUGCAUGCAUGGACAUAUUACAUCUACGUGACACACGGUCCGUAUAUAUAUAUAGUCGACCUAUACUUGCAAAGAACUCUAAUGACGCACCAAAUGACGCCACGCGAUAAAUCUCAACGAAUACACCACCACAAACAUAUAGAAAACAAAAGAUAUGUCUGCAAAGGUGAAAAGCCAUGAUUAAUUAGUGGAUUCUCAACGUACUUUGCAUCCAUUUACGCUUAUGUAUACACGCACACACAUAAAAAGCAUGUAUCCUGGAGAUGAAACUGACGUUGGAAGGCCAAAAAAAAACUUAUAACAUAUUAGUUACGGUGCGUGGCUCUUUUUUGGUUUUAAUCAGUUACUAAACAUCAAAUUUGCAACUCAGUUUCUUAGAAACGACAGACGUUGUUAAAGAUGAUUUAAAGGCGAUAAUGUUGCCUGUUAACAUCCAUUGCCAAAUAUGAUUUAGCGACACAUUUAGGUUUUACCAAUUUACAAAAUGUUGUCGUUAUAUGGCUUGGUUUUGUAGUGGUUAAUAACUUUACAUGCGUUAUUUGAAUUACAAUUGAUAGAAAAUAUGUAAAAGAUAGUCCCAUACUUUUGACUAAAGUUUUUUCCCCUCGACUUUAAUUAGAGAUUUAAUAAAAGUUCUUUAUCUAAAUAUGACCUAAACCGUACGUAGCCGUCGCAUAUACUAAUCUGUAUGUAUAAAUCACCAAUUCAACAUGAUCCAGAUUAUAUACAUCUCAAAACUGAAAUUUCUUUUCCUCAAGCAUAGGGAAAUUCGUUAAUUAGCAGAAGGGCAAAGAAUCAAAUGUAUAUAUUCUUAAUGAUUCGCAUGGAUCUUAUUAAGAUUAAAUCCAAGAGGGUAUAAAUAGAGAUUGUACAUAUAUAUGUCUACAAAUAUGUAAACGAAGUAUUAUUGUAAAUUUAUAUUUCUCUAACUGUUUUGAUGGGAGAUUUUUAACUUAGAAGUUUGUAAUUAUAUAACCCGUACAUAAUAAAUAGUAUGCAAAUGUGCAAUGGAAUGUUGAUAUAAUUUUAUACUGUAAUAAAUAAAAAUUGGGAUAUUUUCAAAAAGCCAAUAUGUGAAGCUUUUCAAUUGGACAUUAAAGUUUGAUUUCACAUGAGACCGAACCAAAGACUUACGAUGAGCACAUUCACAUAAUAGCAUAACUAUUUAUAUAUACAAUGGAAUGUUGAUCUGUAUUAUAGUAAAUGAAGUUGGAAUUAUUAAAAAGCUAAUAUAUGAAGCUUUUGUAUUGAAAUUAAAGUUUGGUUUCACAUGGGAUCGAACCAAACAUGAGUCUGGCUGACCAUGAAAAGGUUCAUGUCGAAUAAAUUAAUUAAGCAAUGUAUAUGUAAUUGUUGGCCUCUACUUUAUUAUAUAUGAGAUGCAUGUGGCUGUUGCUCCACAUAUAUUUUUCUAAUAUUCCUAAAUGAGCUAACUUAAUGUAUUUUCUGAUAUAGUUUUUGAUUAAUUGUCAUAUUAACAACAAAAAUAUAUUUUUAUCAGAAAUGUAUACUUCACUAAAACUUCAGAUUUCUCCGUUUCUCCAUAUUAAUCAAUUAAAAUAAGAAAUCUCUCAAUUAUACUUUGAGUCGGCAUAUUACUAGUUUAUAUUUCAAUGUUUCCGUGAAGCAAGCAAGUAUAUAUACUUUUUUGCUCGUAGGAGUGUAGGAUAUAGGGUUCUUUACAAAAAGCAUUGGUCUCAUCUCUCGUGCAAAGCACCAGUUUGCUUCAGUUAAUUGGAAAGUGUUCCUUAGAUUCUUUAUUUCUUUUCGGUUUGAUUAAUUUUACUCCACCCUUUGUCUACCUUCUUUUUCUUUUUUAGAUUGAAAUGAUGAUUCUAGUCCCUCUCCAGUGUCCAUCCCGUGUAGAAAGAAAUCAAAAAUAUUUUAUUUUUCUUCAACAAAAAGAGCUCCAUCGUGGCUGUAAAUAUCAUAGCAAGUAUAUGUUCGCAAUACAUCUGUUGAUGCGAUGCGAUGCGAGAAAAAAAAAGAAUUACGAUCAAUGAAGUUAAAAUGCUCGUGGAAUGUUUUUUUAAUGUACUAGGGUUUAUUUUUUUAAUGCUCGUAGGGCGGGAUAUUAGUUAAUUUGAUAUUCAUUAAAUGCUCGAGUUGAAAUUUGUUUUAAGAUUCAAAAAUUUGGUUAUCUGUUAUGUCUUACUUAUUAGUAUGCGGUGGUAUAGUUGUUUUUCGAUUAUUCUUGCUUUGAUAUUGUAUCAAAUUAACUAAUUGUCCAACUCAUAAUUAUAGAUGUACAAAUGUGGAUUUGUGAUAAAGUUUGAUGACAAUACUGUUUUUUUUAAUUCUUAUUCAUAGUGAUGUGUGCAUGUGUCAGAAAGAGGCCUAUAACAAUUUUUAUGUUUUUAUGUAUGGAUUUUAAAUAUAUAUUAUUUUGUAUAAUGUAUACUUGCUUUACAACAUUUGCUUGUAGACUAAAAAAAUUAUUCUCUAUAUUUUUAAAAGAGAAAAUAUUUAGUCUAGAAUAUAACAUGGACAUAUGUAUUGACUAUUUAUAGAAGUUGGGUGUUAUUUUAAAAUGACAUAUGUAUAGAGAUUUUUAAAUCAUUACUUCACUGGCACAAAACAUUUAUAACUGUAAAUAUUUUCUUUUAAAAGCAAAACUAAUAAAAACGUGUACAACAAAUGUAUUUUGAUAUAUAUUAUAUGCAUCAAGUUAUAAAGGUUGGAAACAUUGCAAAAUUGUUUGGAGCAAAGUUUUUAACUUCACGAUCUUCAUCUUGAUGUCAGUUCAGUGUCGGCCCUGGUCACAAGCAGAAGAAGCAUGGGCUUCCAGCUGGUACACGAUAAUAAGUAUUUUCGCGGUCACAUAUUUAUAAAAAGUGACUUUAGCCUAUUGGUUCUAAGAGAAAUUACCAGCGCUAGAGGUGCUGGGUUUCAAUUACCCUUAACUGCAUUCAUUUAUUUUGGCCAUAAAUAUAAAAUGAGACACGUGUCACUCUCAGAACGCACGAAUUGAUGAUGUGGCUUCACGGGAGAGAGGCGAACAUUUCUUAAUAUAAUACAUAACGUUGAAAAUACAUUAUUACUGAUCACUAAAAAAUUAUGUUAGUAGUAAUAAAAAUGAAAUGACAACACAUUUAUUAAAACCAUAGAACGGCACGCAAUAAGGUAUUAUGUAAUAUAGAAACUACAAAUUAAAUAUGCUCAACGCAAACACACAUAAAAAUGAGACAUCAUAUUUGGAUAUAUUUAAAUAAAUAAUUUUGAAAUUACUCAAAAGAAACUAAAUUAUUAAAAAUUACUUAAAAGAAACUAAAUUAUUAAAAAUUAAUAUACAAAUAAAACUAAAGAAAUAUUUUGUAACGUCAAAAUAAUAAAUGAAUAAAAAUAUAUUAUGUUAAUAAAAUAUAUUUUAGAUUUUAAAGACUUCUAAUUCAUGUAAUAUUACAAAAUUCAAAAUUUGUUUAUUACAAUUAUUAUUUUACCAUUAGAUAUAUUAAAAUAAUAUUCUAGAUCGAUAUUCAAUUGUCAGUUUUCAACUAUUACACGUAAAAGAUUAUUGUUCAGUACGCUUUUUUUAGAAAAGAGGGUUUUAUAUUUUAAGUAGGUUAUUGGAGUACUUUUUCUUUUCGUGAAUUUAUUCGAAAUGAGAUUCCGAUCUUUUAAACUAAGGCCUUGAUUGGUAGAGCAUUAGCAUUAGCAGUAGCAGUAUGCUAUAGAAGCAGUAUGCUGCAGGCGUUGUAUGCUUUUGUUAAACUGUUUAAUAUGAUGAUUGGUAUAGCAGUAUGAGUAUGAUAUUUAAAAUUAUUAUAAAAAUUAGUAUAUAACAUAUAAUAUAUUUAUUUUUAAUGAAUAUAUUUCUAAUAUAUAUAAAUAUAUUAACUUAUAAAAUUAAAAAGAUAUAUAAUUAAUUUAUUUUAUUUAACAAUUUAAAAUUUAUAUUAUAAAAUAUCUAUUUCUAAAAAUAAUUUUUCAAUUUUGAAAUAAAUUAAAUUAUAUUUUAAAUGUGAAAUACUAUUUUUUUUAAAAAAAUAUUUUUUAUUGGAAAUUAAUUUUAGAAAUCAAAAUUUUAUAUUCUGGAUAUAAAAAUAAUUUUAUGAUAUUAUUAGAUAAAAUAAAUGAAUUAAUUAUAUAUUUUCUUUAAUUUUAUAAAUUAUAAAUGCAAAUGCUCUUCUAAAAGCUUCAUCUGAGAGUAUUGGCUAGAGAACAUUGGCUAGAGAGCAUUUGGAGAGCAUUAGCAUUUAGUAAAUGCUUCGCUAAUUGUUUUUCUGACAACUGUUGAUUGGAUAAUGUAGAGCAUAAUGUUAUACCAAUCAAUGCUUAAGAUAAUUUAUGUUCUAUGCAUAAUUAUAUUUUUUUACAUAACUCUAAAAUCUCGGACUUGAUUCUUUAUAUUUUAUUAGUUAAUUGUGUUACAUAUAAUAGAAAUACUUACUUCAAACUAAAAAAGAAAUCAAAUUUAAAAAUUAGUUAUAUAUAAUUUAAUAUACAAAAAUUUAAAUAUAAAUAAAAAUGAUAAAUAUAACAACUUUAAAUAUAUUAUCUGCGCGUAGCGCGGAUAAAUGAUCUGGUGUUCAUAAAUAACUAAUUCCAAAGAAAAUUAAACAAAGUAUUCAAUCUUAAUCUGAAAAGUAAACCUUUCUAGAAAUAUGUCAUUCUUGAAUUAGUCUGUAUAAUAUACCAAACGUGUGAAAUGUCGAUUGUUUCUUCAUCACUAAGGUAUUACAGACGUUUGGUUAUUUAAUUUCAAGAAAAAUAUUUAUUUUUAUUUUUGCUAUACGGACCCCAAACGAGCAAUGGUGCCCCACAAAAUAUUUCUUGCUUUUACAAAGUUGGCUCUACAAGUUUUUAAACCCGCCAUAGUGCAACAUGACUCAAAAGCUGCUUAUACAGUAUAAUAUACGGUUGUAUACCGUAUUUUAAAGUGACUAAAAUACCCCUGUUUAUUUGUCCAUAAAUAUCAAGCUCCAACAAUGCAAUUCUUCCCUUUUCCCCUUCUAAUCUCUCUCAUCUCUCUACUAGGAAAAAAUAAGCAAUUAUGUUGUCCACUGUACCGGCCUUUUCCAUGUCUGAACCGGGUUUAGUUAAUCAAUUUCAGGGAUUCCAAACCGGGUUCACUCCUUGGGAAUGGGACUGCUCUGAUCUCUUUUCCGUUAACCAGCUGCCUCUUGAACCGGCCGUUCCCAGUCCAUGUUUUGCUGAAUCCGACUCUGGUCUCGUCAAAAUUAAACCUGGUUUUGAUGGCAUCAAACCCGGUUCUGAUGAAAAUUAUACCGGUUUCAUCAAAACUAAACCCGGUUUUGACGAAGCCCAAAGUUCCCACGGCGUACCAGAUGAACCGGACUCGGACGACCCAAAACAAUGGACAGCCAUCGUGAGUUUACACUCGGGAGAGCAGAAUCAUAACCGGAAUAAACUAAUUCAACCCGAGAUGACCGAGGAGAAGAAGAGGAAGAGGAUGGAAUCGAACCGGGAAUCAGCGAAACGGUCGAGAAUGCGUAAACAAAGUCACAUUAAUAACUUAAGGAACCAAGUAAACCAGCUCGACUUGGAAAACCGUGAGCUCAAGAACCGGCUCCAGUUAUUUACAUACCAGCUUCAACGAGUGAAUACAGACAACAUCCAGCUCGUGGCGGAACAAGACAUUCUCCGGUUAAGAUUGUCGGAGAUGAGGCGGAUCCUGAUGAUCAGACGACAACAACAAUGGGGACUCAAUAACCGGAGAAUGAUCAUGACUGAACAAAACCCAUCUACGAUCAUGGAUCAUAUGAUAUAUAUAAGUAAAUAAUAAAAACAAAAAAAACUAGAACGAUACCAUCAAUCUCUUUCUUUGUCUCUCUAUCUCUCUAUGUAAAUGACAUUGAAGGUUUAGGGCAGAGGAAAACAAAGUUUUCGAGAAGGAGAAGAAGAUGAAAAAGUUUUAUUUUUUGUAAUCUUUUUUUUUUCCACUCUCGUAGGAAGUGAUCGUUGUCGUGUUAUGAUAAAUAACUAAAAGAGUUAUCACAUUAAUGCAAUGAUAUAAUAUUAUUCAUACUUUAUGGGAAGCUUUUGUGCGCAAUGACAGCAAAGUAGUUUAUUUAAUUUAUUUUUUUAAUAAGUUGAAACAUUAAAGUAAUUAACAGGUUACACGAAUAAUUAAAGGGUAAUUAAAAUAAGCUAUCCCAAUAUUCAUUUAAAUAUAUAUAUAUAUAUCAUCACAAUGUGGGAGCCAUGUUACUUUAUCCAUUAAUCAUGUCGGCCCAAAACAAGAUUUGGUUCUGAAAGCCCAAUAGGAAAUUAAAUCCUCAAGUCCAUAUAUGUUUGAAGAGCACCUAAACCCUAACCUUCAGUGGAAGCCACAAUUACAGAGCGAAAAAAACCCUAAAAAAGGAUCUGACCAAACGAUUCAAGAAACACAAAAGAACAAAGCAAUGCACCAAAGAAACAAGAUAAAAUAAAUAAGGACAGAGCUUUUAACACUUUUCCUCCUCAGGUAGUGUAACGGAAGUUGUUGUUGCUCUCUGCAACGGGGCUGUUAGAGAGUGGACAAAACGUCGUUGACUUUUGCAGAACACCUGUAGGAGAAGAUCCCAGCGUGGGGCUGUUCGUUGUGCUGUUGAGUACUUCACCUAGAGGACCUCCCAAGGAGUUUCCCCAUGAGAUUGGUAUCCAAGUAUUCACCUUUUUGAGUGUUGUUUCCUGCUCAGACUCCUGCGAUAGCCUGAGAGGUGACAGAGUGGUUUUGUCUUCACCAGUGGAGGAAGGAGAUGAUGAUGAUGAUGAUGCUACUGGAAUUGACAUUGAAAGCUGCGUCCAGUCUGACUUCAGCUCUUCGGGCCAUGAGCUGUGGUUGUGCGGGUUCACCAAUGAAUCAGAGGAUAUGUGUCCAAACUCAAAAGAGCUGUUGUUGUUUCUCGGUUUGGGAGAUUCCUUGGGUUGCAAGUUAACGGUGGAUGGAUACACCUGGCUCUGGACUCUGCUUUGCAACAAUACGUAAGUAAGCUACGAACAUGAACCACCAAAUAGGCAAAGUAUUGAAAGAUACUCUACCUAUUGUUAGACGGAUUGAUGUAUUGAGCUGCGGUGGUGAGACUGCGGUUACGGUUAAUACCGCCAGCAGCCACGGACUGUUGCUGCGCUGUAACCGCUUUGGAUGCAGCAGCAGCAGCAGCGGCGGUCUGGUUAGAUUGGACUUCCACAAGCUUUCUUGAACGGUGACGGCCUCUGUUGAUGUGUCUUUCACAGUAUUUCUGAUCAGGAACAGCAUCUCUUGAGCACCUCCAUUUCUUCCCAUCUGUUCUACGGCAUCUCCCUGGCUCAGGAUCCAUGUUACCUCCUGCAAAACCUAGAUGAAAAGUUCCCCAUCCAACUGCACCAAAUGCCAAACAAAUAGUUUUAACCCCCAAGAGCCCCAAUCUUGAAAAAACCUUUCAGGAGCAAUCAAUGUUUUUUUUGAACUAAAUUUCCCUAACCAUUUUUUGUAUUACAAACUAGUUUUGCCCACACACUAAACCCGUUAAGCUAGUCUGUUUAAAAAAUACUUUAGGAAUCAGUUUCCCUUCCUAACCAAAAUCAUGAGAAAGUGAGGUUCUCCUUUGUUGCUUAAAUGCCGGGACUUUUAAGAGCAAUCAAUACAAUGUUUGGCAUUUCAUCCAACUGCACCAAAUGCCAAACAAAUAGUUUUAACCCUUUUGAGCACAAAUCUUGAAAAAAACCUUUCAGGAGCAAUCAAUGUUUUUUUUUUAAUGAAAUAUAUUAAAAAUCGACCCGUUUUUAUAAGCCCGAUUUGAACAAAAUUUUCCAAACCAUUGUUUUGCAAACUAGUUUUGCCCACACACUAAACCGGUUCCGCUAGUAUGUUUAAAAAUACUUUAGGAAUCAGUUUCCCUUCCCAACCAAACCAAAACCAUGAGAAAGUGAGGUUCUCUUUGUUGCUUAAGAUGCUGGGACUUUUAAGAGCAAUAAAUGCUAUGAAAGGACUUUGCACCUAAAAGUCUUUAAAAAAAAAACAACUAGAGACACAACAAAGCAUUGGCAACAAAUCUUGGAAUCAUGAUGAUUAUCAAUGACACUAUAUCAGCAAGUAGAAAGAAAGGGAGCUUACAAGAGCUAGGAGGCAAAGAUCCAUAAGGGAAAAAGGACUUCUGGAUAGAGAUGAGCAAACUAGAAGGAACAGGGACAUUGGCUGUGAUAUACUUAUAGAUCAACGCCUGUUGUUCUAGCUCAGCCCAUUGAGUCAAUGUAAAAGGUCCUUUCCCCUGCAUGCUCAUCAUCAUCCCACCACAACCAUAUCCUCCUGCAUUUUUCCACACAAAAAAAAUUGUUUAAAAAUAAAAAUAAAAAAAACUUUGAGAUAUUUACAUAAAAACCCAUUUCACCACAUCUAACUUAGCAGACCUCCUGAGUAGCUUCUAUAUUGAGGUGGGAACUGGUGGAGAAACGGCGAGAGAGAGUUCUUGUUAUCCAAACAGACAUAUUUACUGAAGUCUUGAGCUUCUGGUUUGUCUGAGAAGCUAAGCAUUUGUUCUUGUCGGAGAGAGUCAGAAGCAGAUCUCAUAAGUGGGAACCCCAACGACUUGCUGUAAGCAGCUGCGUAAGGGGAAGACAAGCUCUUGUCUUCUGCCAUUGUUGUUGUCUUUGCUAGCUUUGAGCUUCGUGGCAAACCGGAUCUGUCUUCUUUCAGAUCUGGUGACCCAUUUACAUUACUAGUAACCGACCCGGGAACAUGAGUCCCAAUAUCCAUAUAAAGAAGUGUAAAAGAAGUAAUAAUAAAUAAUAUAAAAAAGCUAGAUAAUGACUUGAGAGAGAGUUGCCAUGGGGAGGAAGAAAGCUUGAGCAAAGAUGAGAGAGAGAGACGAGGGAGAAGACCGAGGCUAAAGUUUAUUUUUGUUUUUAUAAUAUUAUUAGAUUUUUGUUUUAAAAAUAUGAUAAUUGGUUGGGAGAGAUGAAGCUUUGGGAGGAGACAAGAAUGGUGUACUUAAAAAAAAACACAUUCCGGAUCUCGGACAUGUUACAACAUAUUUAUCCAUGCUUUAUAUUUAUGGUACAACACAUUUAGUUAUGAUUAAUAACGUUAAUUUAUCGAAGCGGUGAACAUAUUUUGAUUUGAAUAAUUGUAAUUUUCUUUUGGGUAAAAAAUAAUUGUAAUUUGUAAUGCCAUUUUUACAAGAGUUUGCAAAAGGAAACAAAGGGUAUCUAUCUUAUUAAAACUCAAGUACAAAAUUGGAGUGUUUGGAGACUUGAAUAGGACUAUUAAAAGAAUUUGGAGUGUUUGGAAACAUGAAUUGUAGUCUUUUAAAAAAACAUUAAUUUUGUUUGGAAACAAAGAUAGUAGUAUUAAGAAAAAAAGUAAUGGGCUUAUGUUAUUAAGAAAAAUUAAAAGUCCAUCAUAUUAUAAUAAACUAUCUAUCUGGGCCAGAUUUAAAAUAUACGAAAAUGAGUCAAUCUAAAUGCCUAAAAUUUUUUAUUUUCUAAACUAACCAUAAAACAAAAUUUAAACUUUAUACACAUAUUUCAAAUCAAAAUAAUAAUUUAAAGUUGAUUUAUAUCAAAAAUUGAUUAAAAAAUAAUACAUAUAUUCAAAAAUGAAUUUUUACUAAACUAUUUUUCAAUAACCAUUAUAAAAAAAUAUAGUCAAUAUAUAUAAUAAAAAUAUAAUACAAAGCCCAAUUUGAAAUACCAACUCAAAUUAUGGUUUUUAUAUUUUAUAUUAAGUUUUAAAAAUAUAAUAUAUAUAAUUAUUUAUAUGAUGGUACGUAUAAAAUACUAUUAAUUAUAUGAUUACUUAUAGGAUGGUCGUAUAAAAUACGAUUAAUUAUAUGAUGACAGUAUAUGAUAUAUAAUAAUGAAUAGGGAUGGGAUUUCGGGCACCCAUACCGGUUUGGUUCUGAUCGGUUUGUGUUUCGGGUUUUCGGAGUCAAAGAUUUAAGCCCCGUUAGGAUGUUUCUAAAUUUUGGUUUGUGUUUGAUUCGGAUCUUUGCGGGUUUGGUUCGCGUUUGGAUAAUCCAUUUAAAUUAUUUUAAAAGUUUUAAAUCAUUAUCUAUUUUAAAUUUCUCAAAAUCUAUAAAUAAAAUAAUAUAUUACCUAUAAAUUUGAAUAACAUAUGUCAGAAUACCUAAGCUUAACAUAUCAAUUGGCUUGAUUUAAAAUUUUGGAUACGGAACCAAUAAUUAUUUUAAGUAUUUUUGGUGAUUUGAGUAUACUUUAACUAUUGCAGAUAUUUACUUUUAACUAUCUAUAUAUAUAUUUUCAAUUAUUUAAACCAAUUUAAAAGUAUCAUUCUUAAUGUUUUAUAUACGUUAAAUCUAAAAAUAAUUAAUAUAUAUAUAUAAGUAUAUAAGUCUAUUUUUAGAUAAAUUCGGGUACCCAAAUACUUCGGUUCGGAUCAGAUUUGGUUCUCUAAAUAACAAAAUUUUGAAAAAUUUGAAUAUUUAAUCAAUUUAUGUUCGGGUUUGGUACUAUAUUUUCGGAUCGGUAUCGGUUCUGUUCCUUGGAUUCAUUUUGUAAAACCCUAAUAAUUACAUGAAAAACAAAUAUCAACAUAUUUUUCAAAAUAUACAUCCGCGCGCCUGCGCGGGUCAAAAUCUAGUAUACUUUAAAAGUGAGUGUAUAUGUACAACGUAUGUCUAACAUACACUUUAAGUGAGAUUUGUUUUUGUUAAUUGAAAGCAAAUAAAAGAAUUGUCCUAUUCAGAUAUUUAUACUUGUAUUGAGUGGAGUACCAAAUAUUUAUCAAGAUUCACGUGGUUCCAAUGAUAUUUUUGGACCAUCUUGGUCCUCUCCCCGUGGAUUUUUGUUAUUAUGGAAUGAGUAAUUCUUGGGUUCACCCCCUAGGGUGAACCUCUAGGUUCACCAACCAAUAGUGUUUGAGUAUUUGAUAUUUGAUAUCUUUUAAAAAAGGAAACAACAUUGAAUUUCCAAAUAAGAUUAUCUUUUUAAAAUAAAACAAUAAAAAUACAUAAAAAUAGUUACAAAAAAUAAAUAAAUAAAUAUUUUUAAGUCUUCAGCAAAAUACUAAACCCUAUACCCUAAAUCUUAAACCGUAAACCCUAAACCUUAAACUUUGGAUAAACUCUAAACGUUUGAAAAUCUCAAACCCUAAAUCAUACAUUAAAAACUAAAUUUUAAUAACACUAAACCCUAAAUCCUAAUCACUAAACCCUAAACCCUUGGGUAAACCCUGAACCCUUGGAUAAAUCAUAAACUGUAAAUCAAAAAUAUUUAAAAUUAAACUCUAGAGAUUAUGAUUUAUCCAAGGGUUCAGGGUUUACCCAAGGGUUUAGGGUUUAGUGAUUAGGAUUUAGGGUUUAGUGAUUAGGAUUUAGGGUUUAGUAUUAUUAAAAUUUAGUUUUUAAUGUAUGAUUUAGGGUUUAGGAUUUUUAAACGUUUAGAGUUUAUCCAAAGUUUAAGGUUUAGGCUUUAGGGUUUAAGAUUUAGGGUAUAUGGUUUAGUAUUUUGCUGAAGACUUAAAAAUAUUUAUUUAUUUAUUUUUUGUAACUAUUUUUAUGUAUUUUUAUUGUUUUAUUUUAAAAAGAUAAUCUUAUUUGGAAAUUCAAUGUUGUUUCCUUUUUUAAAAGAUAUCAAAUAUCAAAUACUCAAACACUAUUGGUUGGUGAACCUAGAGGUUCACCCUAGGGGGUGAACCCAAGAAUUACUCUUAUGGAAUGGGCCAUUUUAUCCUUGAUUCUGUGUAUGAUGAUGUAUCGAGUGAUAUUACACUAAUGGUGACUGAUUACUAAAUGUUCUUCGGACACAUUAAAUAAGUGUAAAUGUGUAAUUAAGCAAAAAAGUAGUUUUAUUUUUUAACCUUGUUGGAUUGAUGUGGUAAUAAGAAUUAUUUGGGUCGACCGUCAAUAUAAUACUCCCUCCGUUUUUUAAUAUAAAUCGUUGUAGAGAAAUUUUUUUGUUCCAAACUAUAUGUCGUUUUCGGUUUUCUAUGUAAAAUUUAUUAGUAAUUAAUGUUGUAUGACCAAUGGUAAUAUAUCUUUUAUUUUUCUAUUGGUUCAAUUGUGGUUAAGUAAAUAAUUAAUGAUGUUUUUGUUUAGAAAAUAUAAGAAAUUAAUGGUUUUCUUAAUUUACGUGUAUAGCUGUAAAACGACUUAUAUAAAAAAACGGAGGGAGUAUAUUUUUUUUUUGAUAAAAACCGUCAAUAUAACUGCCUUCAACUCUAUUCUAAUCAUUUGAAACCAUUUUUUCUUUUGAAACCAUUUUUUCUUUUUCAUAACUUCUUUAUAUUAACAGUACUAGUGUUAAUGAUGUGUGCAUGCCAUAAACUUGAAAACACGCACAUAUGUGUGUAUAUAUAUCACUUUCAUGCAUCACAUCCAAACCUUGCAACUAUUAGAAAUUGACGUAGCUUAUGGUGAAAAGUGAUUUUAACAACAAUGAAAAGAGAUAGGAUGUUACUACCAAUACCAUCCUACAAGAAACGUAGAUGUUAGUUAAAGUUCUGAGAAAUCUAUUGAAACAAUUGCAAAUUAAUGUAGUGCGUUAAAAUGAUAUAGAUUUCUCGAAUUUUCACAAACCUUAAUUAAAGUUCUGAGAAAUCGUUUUAGUAUUGGUAGUAGAGUCUCACUACCAGUCAACCAAUAUCACAUGACAAACGUAGAUGCGUCAAAAGAUUUCUUGAAUUUUCACAAACGUUAGUUAAAGUUCUAAAAAAUCGUUUUCUGUAAGAAAAAAGGUUUGUGAUUCUAGUUUUCCGUAGCUUUAUUUUUUCGGGCAAGGCUGUUCAAGGUCUGAUGAUUUACGUGCAUUUCUUCAAAAUAAACGACAAACAUAAAAUCAAAUUUCUUGUUUGAUAAAUAACUUUUCCACUCUAUUUGUACAAUUAAAUUCUCUCAGUUUUAGGAUUAUGUAAGGUUAUCAGCGAUAUUUCUGAAUUAUAUCAACUUAAAUGUUUGACUGUUUUGUAAUAUCAAUGGUUAUAUAUUAGGAAAAAAAUAAGAGCAUCUCCGAAAAAGAAUUCUAUUUUGAAGUUUUCAAAACUCUAUAUUUGAAGUUUAAAGGUAUUCUUCUUCAAAAACAAAACUUCAAACUCAACUUCAAAACUAUUUUCAUUUUAUAAUAUGGUAUUUAUAUUUGUCAUAGCUAAUUUGAAUUCAUAAAACUUUUGUAAAUAGCUAGCACAUAUAUAAACAUAUUACAACAAUAUUAAUUAAUAAAAUAUUAUAUUAAAAUUUAAAUUUUUAAGCAAAAUAACUUAAUUAAUAUUAAACUUCAAUAAAAAAAUCAUAUUAUUCCAUAAAGUGAUUUUCGUAAUGCAUAUAUGAUCUACUAGUGCAUUUCGAAGUAAAAAAUGGCUCUCCUCAUUUUUAAUUUGUAGAUUAUUGAUACAAAUUAUUAAAAUCGGGUGAUAUUAAUACUUGUAAAUACAUUAGAUCAAAACAAAAAAGUAAAAGAGAAACAUAAAAUAUUGCUAAAAAACUAACUUUUAUCGACGAUAUUAAUAUUCGUGAAUAUAUUCAAUAUGAAAAAGAAAUAAUUGUACGAAAAGACAUCAUCAACAACAAAAACCAUCUUCAGUUACACAAAAAAAUUGGACAAUAUUUGGAAAUUUUGAAGGUUCCGGAUCAAACUUACAUGACUAUUAGUUUUGUUGUAAUAUUUUAAUUUGUGUAAUAGUUAUGUCUUCAUGUAAUUUUUUAAAAGUUUUUUGGUUAAGUUUUUUUGUAUAUUUUUUUAUCUAAAUCUAGUUUUAAAUAUUUUAAAUCUUAUUUUAAAGUUUUAUAUAAUUUUAUGUGUAAACUUUAAUUUUUUAAACAAAACCUAAAAUAUUUAUAGGAUAUAACUUUUUUAAAUAUUAAAACAAUAAACAAGAAAAUGUUUAUGAAUCAUAAAUGUGAUGUGUAAUUGUAAGGACCAAAAUGCAAAUAAAAAUAUGAAACUUUAAAUUUGAAGUUUUGAAUAGAAAAACUUUAAAUAUAGAAUUUUACUAUUCAAAACUCCAAAUUUGAAGUUUUGAAAUUCCUUUUUGGAGAGCAAAACACUUCAUAUUUGAAUUUAUAGAGUGUUUUUUUGAGAUACUCUUAGUCUCCUCUUUGGGAUAUAGGUUUCGACCUAGCUAUAUUCCCUGCUUACAAAACCAAAGAGAAUAAACAAAAUAAAAGAUGAUAAAGCUGUUGUGAACUAUUAGCUCAAGAUAUAAAUGAUUAUGUAUAUACUUGUAUUUAUGGAGAAAAUAGAAUAAUAAUAAAGGAGAGAGUGAGAGUUGGUCGUGUGAUUGUGAUGAGUAAAGAAGAAAGUAAUCUUUUUAUUAUUGUUGUAUCUUUUUCAUUUUCUACGAAUAAGAACUUAACUCAGCUAUUUAUAGUGCAACAAAAUUACAUAGUCAUCAUCUCUUUAAUAGAGAACAAGAAACGUAGAGAAGACUAAGAUGAUGUUAUAACAGGACAUGUGUCCAAGUUGAAUAAUCAUUCUCUUUUGAUAUUUAUCUUCUAACACUCUCCCUUGAUUAUUCAUUUUAUAUUACGUAGUGCCUUGUUAAAAACCUAAUCAUGGAAAAAUUCAUUGGGACAAAAACCAUGACAAGGGAAAAAGAGUACAUUACCGUAAUCUCUCCCUGGAAUAAUGGACAUAGCUUUUCUUCAUAGGUCACGCAAAUAUCGCAUUCCGAUACCGUAGAUGUGUUUUCGGAAUGUUGUAGUCGGAAGAGCUUUGGUGAACAAGUCAGCCGGAUUUUUGCAUGACCGUACAUAUUAAAUGUCCACUUCUUUAUUUUUCUCGAGCUCCCUUAUGCACGAGAAAAAUCUUGGAGGGAUGUCUUUGUUCUGUCGCUCUUCAUGUAGCCUUCCUUGAGCUGAGCAACACAAGCCGAAUUAUCUUCAAAUAUUUUCGUCGGCUCUUUCUCGUUGACUAUUCCGCUUGAUUCUUGUAUGUGGUGACUCACUGACCGAAGCCACACACAUUCUCGACAUGCUUCAUGAAGCGUAAUAGUUUCAGCAUGAUUCGAAGAUGUCGCAACCAGAGUUUGUUUCUGGGACCGCCAAGAGAUCGCGGUUCCACCAAUUGUAAAAACAUAGCCAGUUUGUGCUCGACUUUGUAAAUAUCAUGUAUCUGCAAAACCAUACCAAAAUCGGGGUUCCUAGGAUAAAUUAAUCCUAAAUCAAUACGUACCUUGGAGAGAACGGAUAUGUUAUCGACGCCGUUCUAAUUUUCAUAAAUAGAAAAUGAGCUAUAUCUCGCAAAGACAUUAAUGUCUAAAAGUAUAUUUAAUCAAACACAACUCGCAAGAUAUAUAAGCUCAUAUAUGCUUUAUUACCAUUAGCAUCUCCAAAAUACUUAUUUAUAUAAGAUUUUACCAGGAUCUUUUAAAACAUCUUUUUCAACAUUGAGAGAUCUAUUUACUAUUGGAGUACUCAAAGGAGUCGUUUUAUCCAUACGAAAGCGUUUCAAUAACCUUUUCGUAUAGUUUGAUUGAUGCAUAAAAUCCCUUCUCGGAGAUGCUCUAUCUGGAGCCCAAGACAAAACUUUGUCUUACCAAAAUCUUUCAUUUCGAACUCCUCUUUCAUAUGAGUUCGAGCAUCAUCAACCUACUUUUGAGUUCCAUUUAUGUCUUGUUAGCUACAUAUACAACAAUGAUCACAAAGCCAGAUGACAAUUUCUUUAUAAAAACGCAUAGACAUAUCGCAUUAUUCACAUAUCCUUUACUCAAAAGAUAUUCACUUAAGCGAUUGUACCACAUGCGUCCGGAUUGCUUUAAUCCGUAAAGUGAUCGCUGUAACUUGACCGAACAAAUCUCCCUGGAUUUUUUUUUCAAUGCCCCUGGCAUUUUCAAUCCCUAAGGGAGUUUCAUAUACAUAUCGUUAUCCUACGAUCCAUACAAAUAUGCAGUCACAACGUCCAUGAGAUGCAUUUCAAAAUUUUUAGACGCCGUUAGGCUCAUCAAAAAUCUAAACGUAAUUGCAUCCAUUACCGGGGAAUACGUUUCCUCAAAAUCAAUUCCCGGUCUCUGAGAAAAACUUUGGGCAACUAAUCAGGUUUUAUAUCAUGUUACUUUUCUCACGAAUACCCACUUAUACCCGACAAGAUUUGUAUUCUCAUGUGUUAUGACUAUAAGUCUAAAGACAUUCCUUUUAUUUUGGGAGAAUAAUUCAGUUUGAAUGGCCUUCUGCCACUCCUCCCAAUCAUGUCUUUUAAACAUUCCAAAAUGGAUCUUGGAUCGGGAUCAUCAUUUUCAUGAUCAAUAUCUUUGGACACAGAAAAGGAGAACAUUCCAUCAACAUCUUUCAUGUUAUUUCUGAUUCAUAACUUUUCAUCUCAAUCGUAGUUGAUGAAAAUCUCUUACUUUUCUGUUCCCUUCUCGUCAUCUGGAUCCCUAUCUUUAUUUGGUUUUUCUUGAACCUUUUCAUUUAUGUCUUCUUUCAGACAUUUUUCAGUAUCAUGUUCUUCUGGAACCUUUCCACUUAUGCUUUUUUUUUCCAGACAUAUUUCAAUAUCAGGUUCUUUUGAAACAUUUCCACUUAUGCCUUCUUUCAGACAUCUUAUAAUAUCAGGUUCUUCCGGAACCUUACAACUUUUCUCAACCAAUAUCUUUCGGGGAUUUUUAUCUCUAGAACCCGCUAGUCUCCCCCUCUAUAACUGAACCCAAGGUUCAUUCAUUUUGUUACCAUCAGUUUGUUCUUUAGGAACAUCAACUCUUGAUGGAACAUUUUCAGCGGGUAUAUCAUGUCGUAUCUGUGAACACAUUUGGUAACUGGUUUGCCAAAUUAUGCAAAUGCACAAUUUUCUGAACUUCCAGCUCUCUUUGAUUUGUAGGGGGACCAAAGUGUAACAACGAAUGUGUACACCAUGUAAUUUAUUUAGGAAUUUCUCAAAUUCCUCUCCCUAACGCUGGAAUUCAUUCUCAUUAAAAUGGCAAUCGGUAAAUCAUGGCGUAAACAUAUCACCAGUUACCGGUUUAAGAUACCUUAUACACAGCUUGUUCUAACUCUUCUAGAGUUUUAUACAUUCCCGAGAGCAUUUUUAACUCUCCAGGGACUUCUAAAUAUCAAGAUGCAACUCAAGUCGUUCUUGUCCUACCAGACAUAUCAAUAUAUUGCAUCUAUUUUAUAUUUUCUCCAGUGACCUUGGAACAAGACGCUUUUCAUACCUCAAGGUCAUCUUUCAUUUCAUUCUUUGGAGAAAUAUAUACCUUGGACUUUUGGUCCAAAAAUCUCUCGUUAUUCUAACGAGCUUUAUAUCGAAUUGAUGGCCAAUCAAUUCACUAUACCCUCAUACAUAGAGGUAGAUUCAUAAUCUUUACUUUUAUAGUGCUUUUUCAUUUAUUGUCGACGAUCUAUUUUUUCUUUGGUUCUAUUUUAUUACCCGUACUGAUAUGGUUAAUCGAGAUCUCUUUAUCAUCGAUGAUUUACUCAGGUACCUGACUAUUAUAUUAACCAUAUCAACGGUCUCAUCAUGAGAUUCAUCCACUAUUCAUAUAUUUGCUCCUUUUCGAGGAUUCUUUUGAACCAAAGUGGUCUAUCAAGUCUUUAGCAUGCCAUAGACUCAUAUAUCGUCCGUUUAGGACACUAUUUUCUUAUUGGAGCAUUUUCAGCUGGAAUAUGAGAUUUCAUUAUUUCAUCACAAUGUCUGGCAGGUAUUUUGGAAAUGGAUUAUCCUACUUUUCAUUGUAAUCCAUUUCACAUAUCUCAUUCCAUCAGCUUAUCAUAUGCUUCUAGCAAACUUGCGAGCAUAUUUGUAAUUAUUCAUAUACUUUAUCCCUCUGGAUUGUAUAUGUCUUUAUUACAUGCACAACUGCAUGUUUACAUCCGAUCAUGGGGAUCAUCUUACUUGAGUUUAAUUUAUCAAGUUCUUUUUCGAGUGCGAACAUAAUUUUUUCAAUGUUCCACUUACUAGGAUUCUUUAAUUCUCUCUCUAGAGAUGAUGACACUCCAUGUCUAAAAUCUCGUACUGAAUCCCACUCUAGAACCAAUAACAUAUUCAGUUUUCCCAUUUGGGAUGAAUUAUGUUUCAAAUCCUUUAGAGUGAGAUCUAAAUUUGGGGUCUGCUUAAAGAAAUCACAUAUUGUGAACUUGUUUGAUGAUUCAUCACCCAUGAUGGUUUCCUUUAUUUUCUUGACAUCCUAUAUGUGAAAAACUUCUAGUUUUUCAGCAUUUCACAAUAAUGUUGAACAUUAUUGGAGAUGACUAUAUAUCAGUAAACUUCAGGUUUACCAUUCAUUAAUAAUUUUGCCAUCUUUUUCUUAUGCAUGUCUUUUCAUCAUAAGUUCUGCUAAAGCCAAUAAUAUGUUUAUAUUACUAGAUACUAUACUUAUUUAGUUUGAGAGAGGAAAGAUAUUUGUUACCUUUAGUAGUCAUGUACGAUGACUCAAUAUCUGCUAUGUAUAUCUAUCUCCAUCUUGAAUCUUAAAAUCUCAUUCAGAAAGAUAAUUCUCAUAUCACAUCGAUAUUUUAUUUUUAUUUUCUGGACCAACCAGAAAAUCUGAAUCAUCAAGAUGAGUAUUGAAGCUAUGAAAGAUGGUUCGGGCUCAUAAGAGACGAAGUUUAAUAUACUUCCUUUCUAUUUCUCUUUUUGAUUUUCCGUAUAGAUCGGCUAAAUAUUUGGCGUACGACAACUACAUACCCAAUUUUCUUUUUUUGGCCGUAUCUAUAGCAAACUUUUUUUGUUUGCUUUUUAUCACCCGACCACUUUCAUUUUUCGUGAAAGUUCUAAUUAUUUCACAUGGACGAAAUCUUCUUCUUCGUCCUCUUCCACGACCACGAUAGCGGCUUCUACCGCAUCCAAAUCCUCGUCCUUUUCUAGUAGGACUGACUUGAUGGUUUAGUAUCAUGAUUUUAUUUUUUUCAGUUUUCACGGAGGAUUUAUAUCAACUCCAACCAUUUAGUGAAUCCUUUCUUUCAAAGAUUUAUUUAUCAAAGAUCUUUCAGGUAUUUUCUCAUGAUACACCUCAUCUUAUAAACCAUCAUUGAAUUUGUGUAAAUAUCAUGGCUUUAUCUUUUUCUCAUCCGAUAUAGUUUCAACUUAUCGAUGAUUUCUCAAAGCUUAUUUUCUCUCAGUUGCAUCUUUGCACCCACUGCCCAAGUCUUAUAAUUAUUUUCGUAAUAUUAAGGGUAUUUAGUUUGAGCUUUGUCAAAUUUGACAUGAUAACCAUAUUCAUGGAAUAAUAAUAUAUAAAGACGGAAAUUUAAAUGCAUAAAUUAAAAGCAUAAAAUAAAUGCAUAAAUUAAAUUGCCGAAAUUUAAAGAGCAUAAAUAAAAUCGGGAGGCUCAGCCUACCACAUGAUCCGAGGAGUCAUUGACUACCAUAUUGAUCAUUUUUAUCAAGGUUUGAGGAGACAUGGUUUACCAUAUUAAUCUUUUCUUUUUAUUCAAGGUCCAAGGAGACUUAGUCUACCAUUUUUGACUUUUUUUUAUUUACGGAGGCAAAGCCUUCCACGUGACCCUCCUUUUUUUUCAAGUCACGGAGGUAAAGCCUACCACGUGAUCAUCUGAUCGUAAAUGCACAGCCUACCAUAACGAUCAGUCGGAGAAAGCAACGCCUAUCAUCCCGAAAAAUAAACGGAGAAGGACUAGCCUCUCACUCCGGAAUAAUAAUAAUAAUAUUUAAAUAAAUUAAGUAUAUUAAAACACAUAAAUUACCUCGACUGGUUUAAAAACUUUCGGAUUGAUAAACCUCAGUUGGUCAAAACUUCGUGCUGAUAACGUGUUGUGAACUAUUAGCUCAGGAUAUAAAUGAUUAUGUAUAUACUUGUAUUUAUGGAGAAAAUAGAAUAAUAAUAAAGGAGAGAGUGAGAGUUGGUCUUGUAAUUGUGAUGAGUAAAGAAGAAAGUGUUCUUCUUAUUAUUGUUGUAUCUUUUUCAUCUUCUACGAACAACAACUUUACUCAGUUAUUUAUAGUACAACAAAAUUACAUAGUCAUCAUCCCUUUAAUAGAGAACAAGACACAUAGAGAUGACUAAGAUGAUGUUAUAACAGGACAGGUAUCCAAGUUGGAUAAUCAUCCUCUUUUGAUAUUUAUCUUCUAACAAAAGCCAAUUAUUUAUGCAGCCGUGGCAUUUUUGGGAAAUGGAUGCAGAUUUUUUUUUUUUUUGACAAAAGGCAAGGAUGCAGACCUUUUAUCACAAAAUAUCCUAAUAGUUUAUAAAUUUUGAUAGUCUAGAAAACAACAUAUUAGUAUGUUUCAAAUAAUGACUAGAAGCUAUAAUUUAUACUAUAUUUACUUUUUUUUGAACUGCUUUAUUUACUUUUGUAUACUAUGUUUUAUCGACAAAAUAGAUACUAUUAACAGACCAAAAAAUAUAUAUAUAUAUAUUGUACGAAUUGUACAUUGUUCAAGUAUGCACUUAUGGAUAUGAUUACCUCACUCGAAUAUUUGUACCGAUCUUCAAAUUUUAUCAAUCUAUUCAGUUUUUUAUUACAGAAAAAUAAUUGAUUCUGUCAACGCUUCGUUAUAUUAGGCAGUAUUCUUUCGUUGUGAUUAUACAAUAUUACAAUGCAAAUAUAAAAAGCUCAAUAAUCUAUUCAUUUAUACGGCACCAAUCGAUUUUUUUUUAUCAGUAAACCAACCCACUUGAUUUCACUAGCCUAAAUAUAUGGUUUAAUAAUCCGAAAAUGUUGAAAAAAUAUAUAAAGUUUGAAUAUUACCAUAUGAAAUCAAUAUAUAUUUCUUAGUAUUUUUUUCUAAGCAUUUUUCCAAUUUAAAAGUGUGAAUGUUGGUAUGUUCAGUAUGUUUCAUAUAGUUGAUCCUUCCAAAUACCUUGCCUGGUGUAUGUUGGCUAAACGCAGAAAACAAAUUACACAUAUGAAAUAAUACUUCAUCCCCACAACUAUACGUAUUUACGAACGUAAAUAUAUUUAGCACAUUAACAACUAAAAAUCACUACAAGAAAACACAACUAUAACAACGAAAAUUAAUGAGGAAAUUUAAUCUUCGUAAAUGUACGUUGACUUUACGAUUAUCUUACGAGAAAAUUUAAAAUCAACGUUAGUUCGUUGUAAAAUAACGACAAAACGAUUUCUUCGUAAAAACGACGUGUUCCUCAUAAAUUCGACGUAACAAUAGCGUCUAGUUUACGAGGAAAUAUUUUACGUUUACUUAACGACAAAAUUUCGAGUCCACCAACUUUGUAGUUGUAACACGUUUUUUGUUACGGCUACCUAACUAAAUUUCGUCGUAAAUUUCUAGUAAACUUUCAACUAUCAGAUUCGAAAAUUUCAUAUAAAUAUAGAUGUUUGAACAUCAUUUUAAACACAACAACAAGAAAAAAAAUAAAAACGUGAAAGAAAAAAAAAGUCGGACUCCGGGAAUAUUUUCGAGUUGCAGAGGUGGAUGUAUAUGCACAAAGAUGCUAACGGGAGAAUGACGAAAUAAUACCUCGAAGGACUGUAGACAUUUAUGCAUCAAGCAGAUUCCACACCGCUCGCCCAAGAAAGCAAUAAGAUGUUCUAUCUUUGUCGUAAAUGCAACAAUUCGAAAUUGGCAAAUCGUGAAAAUGUUUGAAAGCAUUUAAUAAAUAGAGGUUUCACGCCAAAUUACUAUAUCUAGUUUCAACAUGGAGAAUGUUAUAAUUAUGAGAAUGAAGCUAGUAGUAAUAGCAAUUUUCAGGAAGAACCGGUUGAUCAUCAUUUGCAUAAUGAACAUAGUUAUCAUCAGGAGGAGCAAAUGGUAGAUUAUGAUAGGAUUCAUGAUAUGGUAGCUGAUGCAUUCGUAGCUCAUGAUGAAGAUGAAGAACCUAACAUAGAUGCAAAAAAGUUUUAUGAAAUGUUAGAUGCAGUGAAUCAGCCACUUUACAGUGGUUGUAGAGAAGGUCUCUCUAAAUUGUCAUUGGCUGUUAAAAUGAUGAAUAUUAAAACUGAUCACUAUCUAUCUGAAAGUUGCAUGAAUGAAUGGGCAGACUUGUUUAAAGAGUAUUUGCCGGAAGACAAUGUGUCUGCUGAUUCUUAUUAUGAGAUUCAGAAAUUGGUUUAUAGUCUUGGGUUGCCUUCGAAGAUGAGAGACGUUUGCAUCGACAAUUGCAUCGACAAUUGCAUGAUCUACUGAAGAAUCAGGUAUUAACUCAAACUCUUAAUUUUUGCAGGUGGAUCGAUCAAACUCUUUUUUCAUACAUGAUCUGUAUUUCAACGUUCUCUUUAUUUUUGCAGGUUGAUUAUGACGACGAAGCAGAUUAUCCUACGUGGUUUCACGAAGUAAUUCAAGCUCCACUUGCAAAGGUUACCACAUCACAUAUAUAUUUCACACGAAGCUAUAUUUUUCACACAUAUGAGUGUGGUAGACAGCGGGCAACCAGUAACUAUAGAAUAUGUGUGAAAGGCGAAACAUAUUUCUACGGGAUCAUGCAGGAGAUUAUUGAAGUCGAAUUCCUAGGGUUAUUGAAGCUGAAAUGUGUCAUCUUCAAAUGUGAAUGGUUUGACCCCGUCGUCAACAGAGGUGUUCGGUUUAACAAAUUCGGUGUAGUUGAUGUCAAUGGUGGACGAAUGUACAUCAAAUUCUUUUUUUGGCAUACAUGAUCUGUAUGAUUAAUUUCUACGUUGUCGUUAUUUUUGCAGGUACAACAAAUUCGAGCCUUUCAUCUUAGCUUCACAAGCAGACAAAGUUAGCCUCAUUCCAUACCCUCGGAUGAGAGAAUCGAGAAUAAAUUAGUUAGCCGUGAUCAAAGUUACACCUCGUGGACGAAUCAUCAAUGGAGAAGAACCACCAUUGAAGGAAGAACAGAUAAAUAAAGUCGAGAAACCUGAAAAACAAACUUAUGACAUUCCUUCUCAUUGAUCCUCAUAAUCAUGAGUACGAAGAUCUUACCGACGAUACCACAGACGAAGCUGUUGAAGACGAGUUUAAUGAAUAUGAUGAUGUUUCUAGUGAUGACGAGAAUGUCGAUGUAUCCGACUGAUGUAUUUGUUUUUAAUAUGAUUGAUUUUCAGACUUAAUGCAUGUGAUUUGAUGGAUUUAAUAAUGAAAAUCAAUUUAUAUAAUUUAAUUUUGUGUAAAGGUAAUGGGCAGUUUGAAUUAGAAAGAAGAGAUUGAGACUAUAAGUUAAGGAACUGUUGUUUUAUAAUUUGGGGUUUGGAAUGGAAAGAAGAUAUUGAGGUUAAAGGGAAGAUGGGUUUGGGGUUUGGAAUAUAUAAAGUAGAAGAUAAGAAAGAUGGGGUUUGGUGUUUUGGAUUUUAGGGAUUUAAACAUAAUCCUCGUUACUUCUUCGUAAACUAACGAGGAACUUACGAAGAAUCUUAAAAAUAAAGAACGUGGGACUUGUUAAUUCUGUGUAAGUAGAAUUCGUCAUAAAGACCUCGUAGUUGGAAAAUGCGGACCUUUGUAUUUACUCGUAAAUAAGAACAUGGGCCUUGCUAUUUCCUCGUAAAUUAACGAGGACGUUACAAGGAAACAAAACGCGGGCCUUUCUAAUUCCUCGUAAAAAAACGCAGGCCUCGCGAGUUCCUCGUAACUUUACGAGGUAAUUACAAUGAUUACUAAUUUCUUAUAUAUACACGCGAGCUUCUCACUUCCAUUUCGUCUUCACUUCCUCUUUUUCUUUCGUAGCAAUGGUACGUACUCUCUCUAUUUCCUCUCUAAUUUGAUUACUUUAGGGUAGAUUAGGUGGUUAGUGUAGGGAAUUCAGAUAGGUUUACGGAUUUUAUGUUAAUUAGUGUUGAUUAGAUGGUUAAUGUAGGGAAUUUUGCUAGAUUUAUAGAAUUUUUUAAUUAUAAAAUUUGUUAAUAACUUUUGAUGUUAAUUUUAAAAAAUAAAAUUUCUUUCCAGACGGUUCGACAGAACAGACUUACUCCCCAUUACAGAGAGAUGUUCGGGGAGCCUGGUAAUCGUUUAGACCCGUCUUCUUCAGCUCCCGGUCCUUCUUCAGCUCCCGGUUCUUCGCGUCCGGAGACUGUCCCCGAGACUCAAUCUUCUCAGAGAGUCUCUCGGUUGCCUUUUUCUGGUGCACCAUCGGUUCCUCGAAUCGUUGCACCACCGGUUCCUCAUGCUCAUGUCCCAAAGGUGCCUCCUCUGAUGGCUCCUCCGAUGCCGGCCAUGAUUAAUCCUGAUUUGAUGAUGCCGCCGAGUUCUCCUUACUCGCAGUACACGUUCGAGGACCUUCUCGCUCAGCCACAGAGAAGGUUUAUCAGUCCUAGACCCCGACCGAUCAGACGGAACUUUGUGUUAAGUUACAUUUUUUUAAAUUAUUUUAAAAUUCUUUUAUAACAAUAAUAAAUAAUUUAUACUUUAAAUUUGUUUUUCUUUUCAGGUUUGAGGUCGACAGAUGUGUUGCUUGGAACGUAACCGAGACGAUCAAAGGUUACUUCUCCGAGCCACAUCCGAACUGGAAAAAGACGCCGAUCUACGUCAGUGGUUCAAAAUUUUUGCUGUGAGUUACUAUUAAUUAAUUAUAUAUAGUUUAAUUUUUUCUGAUUUAGAUUUUUUAAUUUUUUAAAACUAACUCUUAAUUUAAUUUUUUCUGUUACAAUAAAAAUACCAUUGGUCCAUGGGGGUCAAUGAGAAGGUGAAGAAAACGUUUAACGCGAAGGCGAAAGCUCGCUUGUUGGACACGGUCUCUAACUGGAAGGGUGACUGGAUCGUGAAGGAGUAUGAGCGUGGCAAACCCCCUGAGCUCACCACGGAAGUGUGGGAUGGCCUCAUCCGGUAUUGGUGGGAUCCUGACUCCAUUAGAGUCGCUGAAUCUUGCUCUGCCUUCCGUCAGACGGUAGAUGAGCACGGCCACGAGCCGAUGCUUCACUCUACGGGUCAAAAACCCCACGCCGGUAUCCGUCUGGAUAUGGUAAUUCAAUACGGGUCAAGAACUCCCGUCUCUUUUGCAACUUUACAAGAGGAUCCACAAGAACAAGGAGGGCCAAUUUCUAGAUGCUAGGUCCGAGCAGAUCUUCAACGACUUGGUUGGUCGGGUUGAAGACAACCAGACCUAGCUGACCCAGCAGUCCACCGACGGAUUACCCGUUACUUUAUCCACACUUGAAGUGAAUAGGAUUUACGAGAAGUUAAAAAAUUUUAAUUUUUUUUUUAUUAUUCAUUUAAUUUAACUUUAACUUUUUACUAACAGUAUUUGUUUUUUAUUUUUAAGGUUGUCCCUAAGUAAAAGGGACGUACGUUGGGGAUUGGUUCCGUCAACGAUGUUCCGAGAGCGACAUCGUCUUAUGGUCAGAGACGGGAUGAUGAAGUCACUCACCUGCGUAACGAGUUGGACUCGACGCGAUCUGCGUUCACAGCUCUUAUGGGUGGAGUCGAGGGCUUCUUGGACGUUGUAGCGGUCACAAAUCUGGAAUGGGAGUCCUUGUUGAGGAACAUGCGAAGACAAAAUCCCAUUCCAGGCGAGUCAUCCGACACACAUGACGAGGCGGAUGUACAGAGGAGUGAGGAAUUCUACCGGUGAACGACCCUUAGUUCUUUUUUUUCUUUUCGUUGAUUCUAUUAUAAAUUCAAAACUUAUCUAUGUAUAAAAUGUUUUCGUAUUUACAUUAAUUUUUAAAUUAUAUUUUUAUUAAUUAAUUAAAUAUUUUUUUUUUAUUUUUUAUUUUUAAUUCUGGAAUAUAAAAAAUCGAAGUAAUUUCAAAGCUAAAUUACGACUACAUUGCGUGGAAAGUUUAUGAAGAAGUUACGAGGAAAACAUUUACGUCAGCACUACGAGGAAAGCUUAACGAGUAUUUUAUGUGGAGGAGUUUACGUGUAAUUUACAAGGAAUGACUUUCGAGUUAUUUACAAAAAAAUGUAGCGUCCUCCUUACGUGGAAAGGUUACGUGGUUUUGACGAAAAAUACUUUUCUUUGUCUUCAUGAUGAAAUAUGUUUCUCGCUAGUUUUCGACAAAUUGGCGAGGAAAUAUGCAUUACGAGAAACGAAUAACGAUAAAGCUUGUUUUCUCGCUAAUUCCUCGUAAAGCCUUAUUUACGAUGAUCUUACUACGAGUUUCGCCGUCGUUAAUGUUGUCUUUUCUUGUAGUUAAUGUGGAAAUAGUAUUAAUCAUUAUUUAAUCGUAUCAGUUAUUUUCAUCAACUACCGAUCACAUUUGUACCGUAUAUACUAUACUAACUAGUAGACCAAUCAUUCAGAAUCGAUACACAUCAUUUGAACCUCAUAACAAAUAAGCUUCGGGUUUUUGAUUAAAUAUUGAUGUAAUAUACCAUUUCAGAACACUUAAAUACGUCUUAAAAUAUGUUUUCUUCUCAGAUCAAACUAGUUGUACUACAUAUGAUGACGAUAAGAUGUGUUUGGUUUUUAGUGUCAACAAUAAUAUUUUAUCCUUUUAACAAAUUAACGAAUAUCGGAAAUAUUAAGGUUUAGAAUGGUAAAAGCAGUUCAAACGAUGCAGAUCAAGCGGAUCAUACAGAUUAAGCAGGAGAAGUGCGGAUCAAACGGAUCAUGCAUGAGAUAUGCAGAUUAAGCAGAUCAUGUAGGCAGAUUAAACAACUAUUAUAAUUUUGAAUGAUAAAAAUAGUUUAAAUAAAGAAAAUUAUUGUUUAAAUCAUAAAAAAUAUAAUAAAAUAUAUCAAAACAUAAUAUAGAAAUAUAACACAUACACAACAAUAAAUCUUGCACUGAAACCAUGCUACCGCAAUUUUGAAAUCAAUAUAUAAAUAAAAUAAUUUUAACUAACCUACAUAUUUAAAUUAUACUCCCUCCAUUUUUUUAUAUAAGUCGUUUUACAGCUAUACACGUAAAUUAAGAAAACCAUUAAUUUCUUAUAUUUUCUAAACAAAAAUAUCAUUAAUUAUUUACUUAACCACAAUUGAACCAAUAGAAAAAUAAAAGAUAUAUUACCAUUGGUCAUACAACAUUCAUUACUAAUAAAUUUUACAUAGAAAACCGAAAACGACAUAUAGUUUAGAACAAAAAAAUUUCUCUACAACGACUUAUAUUAAAAAACGGAGGGAGUAUUACUAUAUUUUGCAUAAUAGACAUUAUAAUUAAACACUCAUUGUAAAUAUAAUAACAGAUAUUUAACUAACCCACAUAAUUACCUUUCUACAAAAACCCCUCUUUGCUAAUUUAUAUUCAUAUAUAUAUAAAAUUGGAAGUUAAAGAAAUAAAUUAUACCUAAAUCAGAUAAACGAGAGUAUUUUUUUAAUUACGAAUUUAGUUAACUAUAAAUAUAGAAAAUGGUUUUUAAAUAAAGUGUAAGAUUAGUUAACAUAACCAACAUGAGUCCUCUUCUUUUUUUUUAUGUAUAGAAAUAGUAAGUAGUUAUAUUUAUAGAUGAUAAUUAAAUAUUUUCAGAAUAUUUUAGAGAAAAUUAUCUAUUGGUUAAAUAGAAAGUGGAACAAUUGAACAACAUUAAAAAUGGGGUGGGUCAAACUGCAUGCACAUGUCCUGCUUUUAUGCAGAAAAUAAUAAAAAAAAAACAGUUCUCCAGCAUAUUAUUUUUAUAAUUAAAAGAAAACAUGAAUGGCAAUAUAAAAACAGUUUUCCAGCCCAAGUGGAUGAACUGUCUUAAUCCCACUCUUCCAUUCAAACACUUAAACAUGAGGAGCAUGGUUUUGUCAGAAGUGUUUUAAGUAGAAUGGAAUAAAAUCCCCUAGCCAAGAACAAAAACGUGUAAUUUCUUUUUGUCAUCAACGCGUAAUUGCUUUUACAAAUAUAAAUGCAUGCAAGUGUUUUUUUGUUUAAUCCUCGGAGUAUCUUUGGAAAGGUUUAAACUAAUUCAUAAAAGGAUAUAUUCGCAUUUUAGGUUCUUAAAUGCGGCCUAAAACAUAAUUUAUAGCUGUGUGGCCAUACACAUUUAAUAUAGAAAGGUUACUUUGAAUACAAAUCACUCAGAACAUCUCCAAUCUCACUUUAUUUUCACUAUAAAAUAAAAUUUAGAGUCAAAAAUACUUUAAUAGUACUAUAUUUCUCACUCUGUAAUAGAGUAAAAACAAAUUUAUUUCAAAUAUAGAGUAACUUGUUUUUUUUGUUCAUCACUUUAUUUUCUACUAUAAAAUAGAAUACUAUUUAAGAAAAUUCAAACUCUAUUAUAAAAUUACUCUAUUUUCUAAUAAAAAAUAGAACAAAUCAAUAGAGAUAGUCUUAGCUUACCGGUCUACUCUACUAAACUAUCCAUGUAUGCUUAUGCUUUUUUAUUUUGCUAAAAAAUGCAUGCAAUUGCUUUGAAUUCCAUGUAAGAAAACUCCACCAAACAAGCGAGAAAAUCAUAACUCAAAUAAGAUGUUCAUAUGGUAUUUUCCGCAGUUAAAAAAACUGAAUUUGGUAUUGAGCUUUGACAUCUCAAUUAUUGGAUACAGCUUGAAAACAUAUUUUACUUUUCCCAGAUAAAGCAAAGACAAAAACGCAAUUAGCCAGAAAAGAAACAAAAACCAUAGGCUAUGAAUGUUUAUUGUGGUUGACAUGCGGGACGGACUGGACUGCAAUUAAGGUCACCAUUUAAACUAAUUAUUUGGAUAUAUGUGAUCUGAAGAUUAAAUAAUAUAAAAAAUAAAGUGGAGCACGGACGGUUUACAUUACAUAUGCAAAUUAUAAAUACAGCAAAAGAGGUGUGUUUCAAAGUGCGUUCUUAAUUAUUUGUAUUUUAAUUGAUAAUAAAAUAUUUUAAAAAUACACAUAAUUUACGGCACAUUUAUCUGAAUUUCAGAAAACUAGUUAUACUCUGUAACAUUUUUUAAAAAAUAAUAGUAAAAUAUGAUUUUUAUUUCAGUUUAUAAUAUAUUGUUUUGGUCACCUUUCACAUAUUAUUUUAAACCGCUUCUUUUAUCUGAACUGCAAUAUGUGUUUCUAUUAUAUCAACAGCAGUCAAACCACACUGUAAUAUCUAAUCUGCUUGUCUUGUACCCUAGACCGCUGUUACCAUUCGGAGCCAUAGUAGUUAAAAAAGUGAAUUUGGAUAAGAUGUGGUGAAUAAAUAAACUGGUAGAACAUCAGACAUGGUGUUCGAAAAGUGUAGCCAUGGAAAGUGUCUACAUGAUAGGUGAGCGAUAUGUGUGAUAGGUUCUAUUCUUAGCUAAAGGGUUAGACUUUUAGAUUAUUAGUAGACAGCUAAGCUGUUUUGUCGUUUAAUCCAUUUUUAGGACUUUGGUUUUUGGUUUUGCUUUUAGUCAAACCCUAGAAGCUCAUGCGCUACUCUACUACAUGUGAACUAAUCUUAUCAUAUUUUGUUAUCUUUUUAGUUACGUGUGCAUUUAGGCUUACAGAAGAUAAAUAAAUGAAAAUUGGAGGCUAUAGACAUGAAAAAAGAUAACACAAAGACUAGCGGUUUUACCUAACGGAUAUAUAUACGGCUUUAUAUAUACAUAAUAAUACUGUCAUACCCUUGCCAAUUAACCGGCUAACCUGCUAGAAGAUAAAUAAACAAAAAAUAAAAAUUUUACUGCCCAAAGUAAUUCGUUUCUUCUUCCAUUCCACACAACUUCUCCUUCUCACUUUCUUCGUCGGUAGUUUUCUGGAAUUCGAAAGGACCCUGCCGCUGAUCUGCUCCAACGGCUCGCCUCUGAAUGCAAUCAACUUUUCAUCUCCAUCGUCUUCCCUUGUAAUCGUCUUUGGCUUUACGGGCUCGGUGGUUCUGUUUUGUGUUACGGUUUCGGCGGAGGGGAGUAACACCGCCGGCAUCUCCAACUUCAUAGAGUAGCGGUUUUCUCAGAUCUUUGACAACGCCGUAAGUUCUUUCGCUUUCUGCUUCGUCUCUGUUUCUCUGAUUUUUUUUUCGACUUGUCAAAAUUAGGGUUUUUAAUUGUUAAGUCUGUAGCAUCGUUCCUGUUGGAAACCAUUGUUCCGGUUAUUGAAUUCCAUCGUCGCAGAUCGGACUUUCUCAAAUUGAUUUAGGGUUCGAAUUUUCCCGAGUUGUGUGAGGGUUUCUUAAAUUUGAAUUGUUUCAUAUCGAUGAUGCAAACUAUGUGGUGUAGUAAAUUAUACGAAGAUGUGUAGAAUAUCAUUGCUUAGAAUUAGCCUGUCAGUACACAUAGUAUGAAACUUCAGAUCUGGUUUCUAUUUAGAAUGUAAUAAUAUUUGUAUCCCUUCAACCAUUCCAUGUAGGAUAGUAUCACUUGCGAUAAUGUUUGAUUUGCUGCACUUUAUGUUUGGGUGUGGUUCAGUCUGAUGUUCUUAAUCUAAGUUAUGCUUGAUUUGGGGUUUUUGUCUCUGUGGUCCAAAGUUCAUGGUAUAGAAAUAUCGAUUAUUUUGUGGAAUGCAAUCUGCAACACAUAUAUGUUACGUCUAUGACCGUAUCUGUAUAUUUGGUUGCUAUGUGUCAUAACAAGUGGAAUAGUAUACGGUUCAUAUUAUUCCAUUUCACAUGGAACGUACAUUCACAUGAUAUGUUGUUCCAUUCGGUGGCCGGUUCUUUCUCUGUUUAACUCAUUAUUCAUUUAUAUAUUUUAUAUGACAUGUGAAACAUCUUCACUCUUUGCCUCUCUUACUUUUCAUCCUUCAGGUUUGGUAUGGACGAGUUAGAGCUUCCAAGUAGAUUGUUUGAGACAGGCUGUGAACCCACUGGCAAGAAAAGGGUUAACAACUAUUUCAAUCUCCGAUGGAUUGAAGUGAUAAGGAGUGCAUUAGAGGAUGAGGACCUGACGAUGUUGAGUGCGUCACAGUUUGGCCAAGUACUUAAGAUGGGGUCCCAUACCUUCUCGGUUAUGUUUCUUCUUACAUUCUUACACGACAGUUGGUCACUGAGAAGGACUUCAAACUUUGGUGGCUUUUCGUGGGGAAACCAAUUCGUUAUGCUAUUCAAGACUUUGCACUUGUAACUGGGCUCAAUUGUGGACAAAUAGUGGUUGUUCAUCAUCAGGUGAAGGGUAAAGGUGUGCGUGGUAAGGGAACCGGAAAAUUGAAAUUAUCGAGCGCAUCUCCGUCAAUAUGGGAUGUUCUGUUUGGAAGGGAGGAUAAGCCCACCACUAGCUGGAUAAUUGACCGCCUUGUGAAGAGAAAAAAAUAUAAGGACCCGUUAACCCGUCUCCGCUUGGCCUUGUUGGUGCUGGUUGAAGGUAUUUUGUGCCCCACAAGUGGCACAACGAAUAUCAGACCUGAGGUUGUGUGUAUGCUGGAUAAUCUGGAUGAGUUCCUAAACUAUCCAUGGGGGCGUGAGUUAUUGCUCGUCACGGCAGUACAAAAUCUCGUCCACCCAGUCAUUAUGUGUUACAUGACACAAUGGCCAUCCAAGGAUUUUCGCAUGCCAUAGUUCUUCUUACAGUUGCUGCUUGCCACUCGAUACUAUUUAAACCGGGAGCAGUUACCCCCAUGGAUGAUAAGUCUAAAGUCAGUGAAGAUAUUGUCCAUGAGUUGCUUGAUUGGAAGUUCAGCGUGAAUGUCGUCUGAGCCAAAGCUGUCGACCAAAAGGGCCAGGUAUCAUUUUAUAAGUGCUCUCUCUAUGUUACACUCUUUAUCGUUCGUAUUCGCGUGUCAUUUGUUUUUUUAAGUGAUUUGUUUUUGUAUUUUGGGGAAUAUCUAGUGUAGUAAUUUUGCAGAAGACUUGUGGAAUAUCAUUUCGUAGUUGUGCUUUCUUUAUCACAUAGUAUGAUUUUCCCAAUCUGGUUUCCAUUUGGAAUGUAAUAGUUUGGCUGCCUUAGAAGGAGAGGAAAGAGAACCUCUAGGACUACAAGCAGUAAGCCAAGCUGGUUUACUUUCUCGUAUCCGAGAAUAUCAAAUGAGAGAUGUGAACCUGAAGAAGAUACGAGAGCAGUUGAACGAAGGAAACAUCGGAGGAUAUCAAGUUGCAAGUGAUGGAACUUUGUUACUCAAUGGUCGAGUAACUGUUCCGAAAGGAGAAGGACUUCAAGAGGAGAUUCUAAGGACUGCACACCAUUCUCUCUUAAGCAUUCAUCCCGGGAGCACAAAGAUGUAUCGAGAUAUCAGAAGAUAUUACCACUGGCCAGGGAUGAAGAGAGAUGUUGCCAUAUGGGUUUCUCAGUGUCAAAGUUGCCAGAGGAUAAAAGCUGAACAGCAAGUCCCAGGUGGCUUACUUCAAAGCCUACCUAUCCCUGAAUGGAAAUGGGAUGCAGUAGCGAUGGACUUUAUUUCUGGUUUACCUCGAGCACCCGGCCGUGGGAAUGAUGCAGUUUGGGUGAUUGUCGAUCGUCUCACCAAAUCUGCUCAUUUUCUACCGAUGAAACUUACAGACAAAGUUGAGACGUUAGCAGAGCUGUAUUUGGAGGAAAUAGUAAAGCUUCAUGGGGUACCAGCAAAUAUAGUUUCAGACCUAGACCCGCGCUUUACAGCUGAAUUUUGGCGAGCCUUUCAACAAGCCUUGGAAACUGAUUUGCAUAUAAGUACAGCGUUUCAUCCAGAGACCGAUGGCCAAACCGAAAGAACCAUUAGAACUCUGGAAGAUCUGUUAAGGUUGUGUAUCUUAGACUGGAAUGGUCCGUGGGAAAAGUUUUUGCCGC